rnacentral:lncRNA from 1 species
UUUUUUUUUUUUUUUUGUAAAUAUAAACAAGUUUAGAUUAUGUUACAUAAUAUGAUGAAUUCAAAUCUCGUAUCCGUGACAUACAUUCAAAACUGUUAGUGUAAAAAAAAAAUCACCACACCGUCAGCGUAUAAAAAGUUAAUCCUUGUGAAUAGUUAAUAGUCAUCCAUAUUUCAACUAAUAAUUCAAACUAUUAGUACAAUUCAAGGGUGAAAAAAAAACUCUCAUCUCACUAUUUUAACUGUGAAUUUAACUUCAUGGGAUAAUAAUAAUAUUCAAGGAGGAUAGUAGAGAAUCUCUCAAAAAUGAAAUAUAUAUUUUAUUUGUCCGCCAGCGCCAGCCAGAAACUAGGGUAGAACAUUUAUUUAUUUUUUCUUGGGGAUAAAAAAUCCAUUUAUCCUAACUAAACUAGUAGUAGGACUUAAUAGGGAAGACGGUGUAGACGGUGGAGAAUGACAAAUUUAACCUUGGAGAACGGGUUCUUGAUUUCAAAGCGAAUCGGGUUCAUGAAAUAGUAGCAGUAGAAAGGGUGGUGGGUAAGUGUCUGAGACGCUUCCACAGCUUCUAGGCUUUCUCAUUUGGAUUUCCCUCUUCUUUUCUUCUCGUGUUGUUUGUAUUGGAGCUACUACUACUGCUGCUGCUGCUAAGUAUCACCAGUCUCUUUCCCUUGCCUGAGGAGGAGGAAGACGAGGACGCUUCUUCUUUAGGGUGGUCUUUUGAUAUUGUUCGAUUGACCCCUCAAAAAAAAAGAAAGAAAGGAAGAAAGAAAGAUGGUGGGAAUGGGAUGCCGGCGUAUGGAAUUCAGUCAAUGCUGAAGGAAGGGCACAAGCAUCUAUCCGGGUUGGACGAAGCGGUGCUCAAGAACAUCGACGCCUGCAAACAGCUUUCCCAAAUCACCCGCACUUCCUCGGCCCCAACGGUACUCUCUCUCUCUAGCCCUUCUUCUUACUCUUCUCCCUCUCCCCGAUUUUGCAGCAUCAAAUCUAUGUGCUGCUGUCACUCACAUUUGUAACUGUAUGUCUCAGUUGUAAACUAUUGCUCCUGCUUUUAGUUCUAGGGUUUUUUCAAGUCACUUUUGCCCUUUCCUAGUAUUAUUUUUUUUUUCAAAAAAAAGGAGGAUCUUUGCGUUAGGAAUUAUUUACCAAGGAAAUUCUUGUAUAAUGCAUUUGGGAUCUGUGGACGCGUUUCCAAUCUCUCUCUCUCUCUCUUCAGGUAUGAAUAAGAUGGUUUCACCAUCUCGACAAGCUUUUCGUCACCAAGAUGCUGCCACCAUCGUCAACGAGCUCGAGGUUCAGCAUCCUGCGCUAAGAUCUUGGUUCUGGCUGGCAAGGCACAACAAGAGGAAAUUGGUGACGGUGCUAACUUGUGCUCUUUUGCUGGGGAGCUUCUCCAAAAUGCUGAGGAGCUCAUCCGAAUGGGUCUGCACCCCAGUGAGAUCAUCAUUGGUUACGCUAAGGCCAUUAAUAAGGUUUCCAUCAUCCCCUGCAGCCUUUUCGUUUUUAUCUCUUUACUGUUUCCACCACUUCCUCUUUUCUUUUUCUUUUUUCCAAUUGGCUGAGCAAUUUUUUUUUAUUGGUUACCGUUCUGUUUCAGACAAUCCAAGUUUUAGAGGAAUUGGUUGAAGCAGGUUCUGACACCAUGGAUGUCAGAGAUACCAAUCAAGUUAUUUCUCGCAUGAAAGCUGCUGUUGCUAGCAAACAGUUUGGUCUAGAGGAUAUAUUAUGCUGCCUUAUUGCUCAGGUAAAUAUUGCUAACUUUGCUGUUGUUGGUGUCUCAGUUGGGAUUCUUCCCUUGUCCUGAGUUAUGGUGUAUUUGCAACACAGGCAUGCAUCCAAGUUUGCCCAAAGAACCCAGCGAACUUUAAUGUGGACAAUGUCAGAGUCACAAAGCUCUUGGGUGGAGGUCUGCAUGAUAGUAAAAUAGUCCGAGGUAUGGUAUUGAAAAGUGAUGCUGUUGGAAGUAUAAAGAGGAUCGAAAAGGCAAAGGUAGACACUCAUAAGCAUGCAUCUGGUUGUUUGUAUGCUAUUAACUAGUCAACGGCUGUGCUUUGAAACACUUCAGUAUGUUUUCUUGUGCCAAUUCAAAUCAAUGUAGCACAUUAUGAGGCUGAAAGAGUAACAUGCCAUCCUUUUCUCCUCUGUAUCUUGUAUGCUUAUGCAUAAAAGGACAUCAUUUUUUGGUCUGAAUCUUUUUCCAAUUUUUUAAAGAUCUCCCUCAAUAAAGUAGGGUUCUAAUGCCUACUAAUUUUUCAGUCCUGGAAAUAUGCGCUAUUUUUAUUUUUGAAUUCUAUCAUUUGUAUUAACACUUGUUGAUUUAAAAACGGAAGUAGUCUCACGUGCUUAAUGCCUCUUCUAAACGAGUUUAAUCAAAUUCUUCAAAAGAUGUGUCGGCUGUGUUCAUUAUUCGGUCUGGUCUGGGUGGCACCUGUUCUCUAAUCAUCUGUUAAAACUUUUAGAAUUUCUGGUCGUGUUUGUUUUAAAGAGGUUUCAAGUCAUGGCAAAAUUGUUUUAUUCUUUUCCUGAUAAAGUUAGGAAGGAGCGGUACUCUGCUGAUUUACCUUAUGAUUGAUAUUCAUUCUUUAUCAGGAAAUUAAGACUUUGUAAUCAUUCUUGCAGGUUGCUGUUUUUGCUGGAGGUGUUGAUACAUCAGCCACAGAAACAAAAGGAACUGUCUUAAUCCAUAGUGCUGAACAGGUAUUAAGGGGAGCGUCUAGUCCUUUAGAUCCUCAUUCAUAAAGACGUGAACUAGUUUUUCGAAGUCCAAACCUCUUUGCACAUGGUAUUUAUAGUCUCAAGUAAAGCAGUGAAUAAACUUCUUCUAGUGUUCAUCUAUUUUGUUUGCUUUCGUGAAUUCUGGAGCAUCUAGUAACCUGUUCUGUGUUAAUAUCCUCUCAUCUCAGAGUUGGUAAUUUUUAAUCUGUUAAUCUCUUCUGCUUUUGCAGCUCGAAAUUAUGCAAGGACUGAAGAAGCUAAGGUUGAGCAACUCAUCAAAGCAGUUGCAGAAUCUGGUGCGAAGGUUAUUGUUAGUGGAGCAGCUGUUGGAGAGAUGCACUACAUUUUUGUGAGCGUUACAAGUACAACCAUUUUCUCUACCUGUUACUUUAACUUUAAUUUUUGUGCCUUUAUUUCUACAGAGAAAUGAGAAGUCAAGUGCUUUUUCAUUUCUGCUAACCUAGCCUAUUGAAAGAAUGGUUUGUUUCUCCUAAUACAAUGAGAGUCCUAGUUUGCCUUUGUAUCUCUAUGAGGUUGCUGUACAGUAACAGAUAGGUAUGAAUAUCAUAUCCUGAUGGGAAUGAAAGGUAGGGCAACAAAAUAUUGGCACAUUCUGCACUAUAGACUACUGAAAGGUCGUGUGUAUUGGUCACUCGUUUUGACAACUUUCAUCUGCUUGAAUAUCUUGGGAAACUUGUAAGGCGAUUCAUCAGCUUGAAAUGUAGAUUACUCUCCUUUAGCUUUGUGUCAUUUUGCUCCAUUUUGCAUCCCCUUUCUCACCUUGGAUAUAGUGGGAAAAUUUCCUUUAUUUAAGUGUAUUUAUACAUGAGAAGAUAUGUAAAAUCUGCUUGUCCUGAACUUUUUUCCUUAUCUCUUUUGUAUUCAAUUUUUUCUUUUUUGUUGUUUUUUCGGGGGAGGGGGUGUUGGUGGGCGGUAAUUAUAUUGGAGUCUUGGACGAUUUUGCAUUUGCCUUGACUGGAUCUUGAAUUGCUAUCGUUAUGGUUCAUCUUUUCCUAUGCCAUGCAUAUUACUUGUUGUCUGUUUGCCUAACAACCUAUAUAUGUUGAACAACUGAUUACCCAGUACAUAUCCUUUGCAGGCUCAUGGUCCUAAAGAUUAGCUCCAAAUUUGAGCUUCGACGGUUUUGCCGUACCACUGGUGCUGUUGCUCUUGUAAGCAUCUUGCAGUCAGAGAGUAUUAAGUUGUGAAACUUCGUUGUAUUCCUUCUGAUUUUUGUUUUUUUUGGCGAUACAGUUGAAACUUAGUCCGCCAAAUCCAGAUGAUCUUGGAUAUGUUGAUUCCAUUUCAGUGGAGGAAAUUGGUGGUGUUAGAGUAUGAUAAGACUGCCCAUAGUGCUGUUACUCUUCAAUUUGUAGUUGUUUCAACUGCUUGGAUAUGAUUUUUAUGAAUGAUGAUUAGGUUACAAUUGCAAGAAAUGAAGAAGGUGGAAAUUCUGUAUCCACAGUUGUUCUGCGAGGUAGCACUGAUAGUAUAUUAGAUGAUCUUGAGAGAGCGGUCGAUGAUGGAGUUAAUACUUACAAGGUACCCUUUCUGAAUAUAGCAGAUAUAUUUGGAAUGAUGGGUUUUCUUCUGAAUGCCUUUGCAAGUUGUUAACUAUUUGCUUCUUGGUGAUUUGCAAGUUUUUACUUGCAGUUAGGAUCUAAUAGACUUUGCUGUUUCCAUCCAUACCAGGCAAUGUGCAGGGAUAGUCGGAUAGUACCUGGUGCUGCAGCUACUGAGAUUGAAUUAGCCAUAAGACUAAAGGAGUUUUCUCUCAAAGAAACUGGGUAAUGCACUUCCUUACCUUGCACUGAAGAAUGUUUUAUUUUAGGUUAAGGCAGCUGUGCUGAAGUGCAAGCUAUAUACAUGUUCUUCACAAGCUUUAGCAAAUAUUCUAUCCAUUUUGCACAUGUAUUUAUUUAGUUCUUGUUUUGAAAAGUUGAUGUGCAUCUGCUUUGUGGCUUCUUUUUGUCCUACCAGAAGGUAACAUACAUCUUCAACCUUGUCCUACCAAAAGUAACAUACAUCUUCAACCUUGUUUUGCAUAUUCUUUCUGCUAUAUAUGUUUGUUUGAUUAUUUGCAUGGGAUAAGGUAAACUUGAGUAAAUUAUUGGACCUGCCAUUUUUUGCCUUGAUUGCUGACUGAUCUGCUUGAAAGUUAGUGUUCUCCCUGUAUAUGAUUGAACAGUGUGGUUGAAUCUGAGUUAGAGGACCAUUUUAUUCACAUUAACUUAAUGACAAGUGUUGCAAUCUAUUUCUAAAGUGUUUUUGUUGAAUGUUUGUGCGAAUAUGUACUGGUUUCUCAUAUCCAAUGGCAUACUGUUAGUUGUCUAUUGUUGUCUUGAUUUUCUUACCAAUUAGUAAACUGAAGCAUGGGUGCUUUGUUUAGUUGAGGCUUAGAUUUUUCUAUUGCCAUGCAGCUUAGAUCAGUAUGCAAUUUCCAAAUUUGCUGAAAGUUUUGAAAUGGUACCUAAAACCCUGGCUGAGAAUGCUGGGCUUAAUGCUAUGGAGAUUAUAUCAUCGUUGUAUGCCGAACAUGCAUCUGGGAACGCAAGAGUUGGCAUCGAUUUGGAAGAAGGCACGUGCAAAGAUGUCUCCACGAACAGCAUAUGGGACCUAUAUAUCACAAAGUAAGCUUUUUCCUUAUAUUGCUGAAAUCCACAUUCAAAUUUUUUCUAGUGUAGAAGUUUCAACUUUGAAGAUUGAGAGCAAAAUUUUGAAGAAUGAGAGCAAACUGUUGUUUUUAUGUCAGUCCUGGAGUAAGCAUUAAACCCUGCUCGUGAAGGUUGUGCAGAAGAUUGUUUAGCACUUUCUAGUGAUCUCAUUUGUAUAUAUCAUGCAUGUUAAAGGCUACCAACUAACUAAAUCUUGCUUCUGUGGAACAAUGUAAACAAAAGCUCAAUAGGGAUCCUUAGUUCUGUCGACCUUGGUUUUUGGAUCCUCAAAACCUAAUCAAAAGAUCCAAGCAACUCAGCUGUGCAUGAGCUUGUGAACACUCACAUGCUUGCCUGCUUGGGCUUUUUUAACCACCCAUGAAGGAGAUCUUUUUUUGUUUAGUUUCCCUGAGAUUGAUGCAUUCUGGAAUAUUCUUUUGUAACUCAAGCUAUUCUGGAAUAUGGAAUUUAAUGAAGUGUCAGAAGGCUCUUAACUAGGAAUUUGGUUCAAUUGACAGGUUUUUUGCUCUCAAAUUUGCUGCUGAUGCUGUCUGUACUGUCCUGCGUGUAGACCAGGUAAGGCAUUCUUGGCAUCUUUACUUUUCUUCUUCAUAAUGUGGUUAUCAUGAUACUGGUGGUAAAUUACCUAUUUCUGUGGUUUAUGCUGCAUUUAGUCGACCUUUUUGGACGUGAAAGAAUUUCACUUGAUGGUGUGAUAGUUAUACAAGAAUUAAGUAGUUUAUGGAGCGGAUAUGCAGAAGUAGUCUACCAGAUGGCCUGGUGGUUGGUGUGUAGGUGAUGACCGUGGGUUUAGGUAUAGGUUUUUCAGUUCAUCAAGUUAUUCUGUGGGUUGUGUGAUAGUCUUUUGAAUGUGCUGCCUAGAAGUUUCCCUUGUUGAGGCUAAAUAACCAGGUGGAAUAGCCCAAUGCUGUCAAGCAUGAUGGCACUUGUUGGUUUAUAAUGUUGAAACUUUGGUCCUUGGGUGUUGUAUUUACGCGUAUAGGUUCUGGUGGUUGAGAUAUAGAUGACGUUUGCAGACUUCCCAAUGCAGAGAUGUCAAUCUCCCAAGUCAUGGAUCAUGACAGGAUUUCUUGGGCAUGCAAAAAAGCUCAUACUAUAUCCUCUCACUAGUUUCAAAAGAAGGCUUGGGUUAACCACAAUAUUGAAGCAUAGUUGGAGAUUCUUGUAGUAAUUUUGCUCAGUUUGGGACACUAAGGUCCCAUAAAGAGGGUCUAAAAGGUGCUGCUGUUGUAAAUAAUUGUGGAUACCUCUGCUAUAAAUUUGAUCAUAGAUCUUGUCUGACUUUAGUAGGUGCAGUGCAAAUAUUUUCAGUUGCUUUUACUCACAGAGUGAUGGAAAUGGUUCUUCAUGUUUUCGCGUUAAGAAGUUUUCCUCAUCUUUUACAAGAUUUGUGAUUGUGUGUCAUCACCUAUUGGUUUUCCGAUGCAGAUUAUAAUGGCAAAACCAGCUGGUGGUCCAAAAAGAUGCUCCUGCAGGGAUGGAUGAAGAUUGAGUGUUCAAUAUGAAUGUAGCGUCUGAUUUAGAUUUUGCUUGGUAGUGUUCUGGGCCUCUUGUGGGUCAAAGGGUUUUCAUCAGAGAAGGCGGAGAAUAGUUGAAUGUUAGCGUGUUGUUUCCUACUUUCAUACCAAUUACUAGGACGGACGUGGUCGAAGAAAAAUUUUGGGUGUUUUUGACUCUGAUUGUAUAUGCCACUAGAAGUGCAUUUGUGGCUUGGUUCGUGUUUAGCGUUUUCCAUUUUUAGUUAUCAUAUUACAGUGGAAGUACACAAUCCAUGGUGAAUUGGGCGUUUUAUACCUAUUGUGAUGUGAAGAGCCCGGCAUCAAAUUCUACAUUGGAAGCUUUAAUUCUUGUUUAUCGGAGUCAGAUUAUAUCUUCGCUGGAAAUAUUUGGAAAUGUUAAUAAAAAAAGCUUUUCUUCAUGGCCCAACAAGGCAACAACGUCGAGUGCUUGCGAUGGAAAGCAAAAUUAUAUGCUCCUCAUUUUUUCUGUCAAAUGACGUAUGAAGGUUUUGUGAAAUGGGCGUUUGGUUUUGAUUUCUCAGUUUUUUUUUAUUUUAAAAAAAAAAAGAAAAAACAAAUACUAUACGUAUUGGCAAGCAAUAAUCUGCUCUGAGCUCUUUAGCUAGUAGCAAUACGUAUGUGAGUAAAAGAGGUAAAAGCUGGGAGUGUGGGAACCAGAUUACCGUCAAAAGUUUUCUGGGGUGAGAGCCAGGUUAUAGAAGAUUGGCUUGCCAGUGGACGGUGGUGGUUCAAGAAACAAACUGCUUAGUGCUUAGCUUUCAUUCAAUCAUGGCUUCUAUUCUAUCCUUUCCUCUCCCAAAACCAAGCUCAGCUACUGUUAUACCUAAAGCUUCUUCUGUUCCAAUCACGUCGUCUCCUCCUCCUGCAGAGACUCUUGACGCAGAGGUUUGGUCGCAAAGGCAUUAAAUCUUGGAGUCCGCAGGAGAUGUUCCGACGGUUGAGCUGACUGUGAGAAAUGGCAGCUCAGUAAAAGUUCAAAUACCCAGUGGUCAUGUCACUUCUUAUAAGCCUAAAGUUUACUGGAAAGAUGAUGGCUUUGAGGAAGUCCUCUACACUCUUCCAGCAAAUGGGCAAUUCUUUCAGUUCCCCUGCUCCUCCUCCUUCCAGAGGUGGUAUUGGUUUGGCAUUCAAUGACCUUUCGACCCAAAUUCAAAAGGGUCUCUUCUCAAAACUUCUGAAUGGACCGUAAAAGAUGUUGACUCUGAUUCUAUUGAUGCUGUGCAGGUACUUUCUCAUCCUCCUCCAUUAUGACUUGCGAGUAGGAACCAGUCAUUCAUUUUGCUCAUUUCUUUUUGCCAAUAUAGUUUUGCUUGCUCUGCUAAGUGCUAACUGCUUUUCUCUUCUCUUCUUGAGAAGAAAUAUAACUACUGGGUUGCACAGUUGCACCCAUGUAAUGGCAGCUUUUGUUGCUCCAAAAUAAUUUAUAGGGGCCUUUUGACAUGGAUUCACUACAGUACUGAAUUCGUUUUUUCCACCUUGGACAAACUCUGUGUGUGUUUGGCUGCAGGUUGAACUGUGUAGCACCAGUGGAAGUCUGGAAUUAACUUACGUAGUUUCACUCUAUCCCUUGUGCGUGGCAACCGCAGUUAUUGUGAAGAACAAUGGCCGUAAAGCUGUCAACCUGGCUGGCGCCAUUCUUACGCAUUUCAGGAUGAAGGGACGAAGUGGAGCAGGUGUGCGAGGCCUCAAGACCUGCUCUUACUGCACCCUCCCUCCUUUAUCUUCGCACUAUGAGAUUCUAUCUCCAUCUGAAGCUGUUAAAACCGAGGAUCCUGGCUUCUUCUCUUUUGGCUGGGAGGCCGAAAAGAAACCAGGAGAAUGGAGUGUGCAAGGCGUUCCCUUCACAGUACUGAAGCAUAAGCUCAGUAGAGUUUAUGCUGCUCCACCAGCUGAUAGAUUGAAAGAGUUCUACAAUACCACACCUUCAAAAUAUGAGGUACUUGAUCAGGUAAUGCCUCAGCAUUCGACUAGCAUUAUCCGUGUACUUUGGACUAUACAAAGUCAAUGGUGUUGAUGAUAAUUCCUCUUAACUAUCUCCCAUAUUAUCAUUUCUAUAGAUGCAGUUGAAUAUUUAUAACCUGCUUCAUUUUUCUAAUGAAUUCUGUCCCUUGUUGGUUCUUUUCUUUCCAGGGCGAGAGCUCUUCUUUAGGUUUAUACGAAUGGGUUUUGAAGAUAUAUAUUUGUCCAGCCCUGGUUCUGUCUCUCGGAAGUAUGGAAGGAUUACUUUAUAUGUACGGGCCCUGCUUCAAUGCUGGUUCCGAUCGUCAUCAACCCUGGUGAGGAGUGGAGGGGGGCACAAGUCAUCGAGCACGAUAAUUUGUAAAAACCAUCAAUUUAACAGACAGCACCAAUUGAUUUUCGCCCUUGAGUUUGUUCUGAGAUGUGCAGAUAUUGAAAUAUGUACAUUGUAGCAUCAAUCUAUUUCAUGAAUCGUGAUAAUUGAGCAGUUCUUGGAUAACAACUUAGCGGACAAUUCAUAUAUUCUGUAGGAAAUCCAUCAAUCAAGAAUGACAGCAGGAGCAGCUGCAUAUGCAGAUGUGAGACAGAACUUUUCAUCAUUUUUCACCAUUUUUGACGUGGUAGUAAAUGGAUUAAUCAGAACCAACAAUAUGGCAAACAUGCAUCCUCGCAUGUAUUGCAGUUCAGAUUCAACUGGCGUUUGACAAAGCAACCACUCAAGCAAGAGGACGAACAAGAGAAUAAUCUACUGCCUCUGUCAAGAGUGGAACAAUUACGCUCAACCAAAAUAAUCUGAGAUUAAUUGCAAAUUCAGCUUUUUGUAAAAAAUCAUUCUUCCAUCACCACCACCACAAAUUCUUACAUAGGAUGAUAAGUAUACGAAGUAAUCAAGGAGAACUUGUCCUUGGGUGAUCAUUGGUGUUGAGAAGAUCAUGAAUCUGUCACUGAACUGCCCCAGAAACUUAUUGCUGCUGCACAGUAAGCAAGAAAAUCAAAGAGAUAAUAUAACAACUACAACAGCUCAGAUAACAAAAGAUAGAUAGAUCGUCGAGCUUUCUUCAACCAAGCAUCUUAUUCCUCUUUGAUGUAAAUCGAGAAACAUUUGAGACAUCUAAAUUCACAAGAAGUCAUGCCAAUCCGAGUCCUACACCAAACUACAAACCAUUUGAUUUUCUUGUUCUGCCACCAUACCAACUGUUGGUGUCUGUUCCAGAGUUUGAUGGCCUUUAGUUACCUAUGGUAUAAUUUGUGUCAAGAGUCUUUGCAUGUGUAGAUAUAUUAUGAGAAUAUGGAUAUCAGAUUCAAAAAAGUAAAAGAAAAAACCUUAUUUUUGGCCGCCUUCUCAUCUGUCAGUGGAGUUCCCACCUGUUUCCAACUCCUACCUGUGGCAAGAAGUUUUUAUUGUGAGGCAGACCUGACGAACUCUGAUUUCUUUCACUACUCAGAGUAGUAGCAUCUGUGGCAAGAAGUUUUUCCCUUGCAUUGGUUAAAAAGUUCACCAAAAGGUCACAUCUUUACUCAUUUUCAGCAACAAGACGUUGCACUUCCAACAAUAAUGGACUGAGACAGUCAUAACAACGUCUUUCUUCAUUGUCACUGAAAUCAUCAUAAACAGCUUUUACACGCUGGUAACCACGAUUCAUGUCUUUGCGCCAUCAGUCCAAAACAUAACAUGUUGAAACCUUGGUAAAAUUGUUCAUGGUUAGCACAGAGAUUACAUGCCUACAAAGGAUACCCCGAGACUCAAAAAGAUGACAAAAAACAAUUAAUCUGACAUGCAUUUUCAGUAUCAUAAUGUACAUCAAACAUAACUUCUUUCCAAUGUACUCCUUCAUUAUCUAACAUGUUUUCUACAACACCAUAAAUUCAAACUGACCCCUCUUUUUCACAAAGCAGGCAGUGCAAAACAUCAACCCUCUUAAUUCCUCCUGAACCAACUUGAAGAUGGAGUAGUGUAAAUAUUUUGAAAUUGCUUUUCAAUGGGAUGUCCAGAUAUUGUUGGCGUGGUGGAGUUGGAUGAAGCAACAUCCGAAUUUUUCUCUCUGUCUAUCUUAUUCUUCAAAGCAUUAUCUUAGUGUUCAACAAACUGCUUCAAUGUUGUUUUUGACUUGCCAGCCAAAAAGUGUGCCAAUCUUGAUACAAUGAUUUUAACCAAUCAUUCUUCUCCAAUUCAAAAUCUUUAAGCAGCUUCUCCCAAUUCUCUUCAAACUCAUCCCCUUUAAUAGAAUCAUAAACAAUAUUUUCCAAACUCCCCUUUAUUGCUUUAUAAUAAGUAAGACGUCCUAAUAUUUGUGGGAGUUUUCUCGUUAUUUGCCUCAGGCACAAACAAUAAUGGGAAUCUGGAAAUUCCUCAGCAACAGCAGCUUGAAUGGAGCUGUCUUCAUCAAUGAUUAUAGCCUUCGGAGCACGUCUUAGCAUGCUUGUUAACCAAGAUCUGAAUAACCACACAAAAGUUCCGUAUCCUCCCCAGAUACCAAUCCGCAACCUAGCAAUACAGUUUGGCCAUGGUGGUACAUUCCAAUGAAUGAAACCAAAGGCAAAUCACAGCUCUGAGUCAAACAAGUAGUAUCAAAAGAAAUGACAUAACAAAAGGACUCAUACGUUGCUCUACACCUUGCAUCUGCCCAAAAUAUAUUUUUUAUGCGACAUUCUUCAUCCAAAUUAACCGCAUAAAAGAAAUUAGGAUCUCUGACUUGCAUAUGAUGGAAAAAAAUUACUCAAGGCCCAAGCAUCUCCAGGUCUGAGUCUCAAACUUUGAGCUUCUGAAAUGUUUUGGUCAUGUAAAGUGUGAAACUUUAUUCUGUUCUGACAUUAGAAUAGUCCGAGAACUUGUCACGUCUAAUAUGGUGUGAUUUUUCUGGAGUGAAGUCAUGACUGUGGUCAAGGGAGUGACGACGCAAGUACCAUCAUCCAUAAUGGCAACAUUGAUUUUAGCUUUACAGAACAGUCGGUCUUUGUGGAGACUGAGAGCCUUCCAUGGUAAGAAGUUUAGUAGUUGAUUUGGUCUUACCAUUCUUGGAACAUCAGAGUGAAAAAUACUCUGCUUGCCAUCAUCAUCUCCAUUCUUGCAAGAAACUUUGGAAAUCCCAAAUCCAAGACGUUGAGCAUAAGAUCUAUAGAAUUGGCGAACUUGUUGUUCAGAAGAGAAUUCCAUCCCAGCUUCAGGGGUUGGAACUUCAUCCUUAUUUGAUGAGGAGUUAUCCAAAUGUGGUGGGUCAUCUUCAGGAGAAACUUUCUCUACCUCGUAGGUCCGUUGCUUAUCUUCUUGCAUCAUGGUAAUUUUGUCAGUGUCACUGGAAUAGAAACUAUCUACCUUUUCCCAAAUUUUAUUUUUAAGGAGACUCUAAACAAAAAGGAGAGCUUUGAAUCCUGCCAAGCAUUUUAUUUAUUCAAUUUCCAAUUGAAUUGAGUUUUCCUGGAAGGUAAUUCCACAUCUAAAUUACGCAAAUGGGCAGUUCAGGCCAACCUGAAUUAGGCUCCAAAGAAAAAAAAGUAGAUAAACCAUCAUCAGAGAUGAGGCCGUAGCAGGUUUUUUUGGGUAGUUUUCAGUAUAUUACCACUGUAAACGAGGAUGAACUUAAGUCUUGAGUUUGACAAUUUGCAACCGCAACCAACCAAAAGCAGGCAGAAAGAGCACAACAGACAGUUGUAAAAAAAUCUCGUCACUUUAUCCAAACAUGUGUCUGGGGAGUCUAUCCUAAAACUCUUCUUCCCUUUAAUUGGAAUCUCCCUGCAAGCAAUUUAAUCCAGACUAGCAAUAAGAGAUUAUGACACCAUUUCAGCUUGAGGGAAUCAUGACAAGUAGUACCAUCCACUCUGGUUUCCUCUCUCCACACUUCAUCCCUCUUUCCAACACCAGAAAACCAGUACUGUUACCUACCAAGACCGUUCAUCGUCUGCAGUGUCCUCCUCCUCCUUUCGUGUGCAACAUUUCUAGCAGCAAGAAAAGAGAGCCCAGAUUGCCAUCGGUAGCAGCAUCAGUCUGGUGCCCACCUCUAGACGUGGACUGUCUAGAAAAUGAGUAUGGAAGCCAUGGAGUCUCGUUUUCUGGUAUCAGCAGUGGUGAUGAGAGUUGUAUGGUCAAGAUGACCAUGGAAAAUGGAAGUGUAGCUAAGCUGAUGCUUCCCAGCGGGCUCAUCACUUCAUAUAAGCCUUUAAUGUGGCAUGGAGCCACCAUGGAGUUACUGCACACCUCAGUCUCAGAAGGGAAAAAUGGUGAAGCACUUAUUCACGGUGGAGUUUCAUUAGACCUCAAGUUUGAUCUGAACGGGAUUUUAUGGUCUCCAAAGACUUGGACUCUGCGUGGAGUUCAAGGAAGCUCUCUGGAAUUUAUUCAGGUCAGUUUUGUUGUAGUACUUGUUUAUCAACCCUGGAGAAGCUUGUGACACCAUGAUUGACAAUCUCCACACAUUUAUUAAGAUAAACAUGCGCGCUCAAUUAUUAAUUGGAUAUCAGAUUGAAAAGAAGAGGCUGCUGGAAUCCAAUAGUUCCUUUUCAUUCCAUCCUUAACUUUUGAAUUCCCUGUCGUUUCAAACUCAGUACCUUAUUGAUGUCCAGAUGUACUUAUGCAGGUAGAACUGAUAAGCCAAAAUGUAGAAAGCAAUAUUGAAGUUAAACAGAUCAUAACACUCGGAGAAGAUGCUUUAUCGCUCUAAAUUCUAGUCUGCAACUCAAGUGAUACAUCCGUCCAUUUCACGGGUGCAGUUAUAAGUCAUCUGACGGCGAGAGCACUCCAGAAGCAACUUAUGCAAUCGGACUAGAAGGAUCAGAUUUUUUAGCAAGACUCCACUUUUGACAGAUUUUAGUCUUAUUCACCCCAGCUUUGGCAAGAUAGGAUCAAGGAAAGCAAGAGGUCUUAUGGACUUCACGGGAUUCUUUUCCGGCUGGGGUGUGGAUCAAGACAGUGAGAGAAUGAGAAAAGAGACAGAAGAAGGUCUGGAGGAGAAGAAGAGGAUGGUUACAAAAAUUUGGCAGAGGAAAUGAGCAGAAUAUAAACCAGCGCACCUCGCGAUUUCACGUCCUUGACAGGGUAUGGAAUUUAUUAUGGAGAUUUUACGUACGUUCCUGAUUCCUUUAACAUUUUCAGAGCAUUCGCUGCCCAUGUCGUAUAAGAGUCUUUUUCCACUGUUGAUUUAUGUAUGUGCUUCCUAUUGCUCUGUCCAUCAGUCGUCUUUAUGCUCUAAAAUUAUCACUAUUUCUCAUGUGGAUCAAGGGGAGGAGAAACUCAGUCCUGGUAGGGAGAAAUGGGUUCAAUGAACUUUACAUGUUCAGUCCAGGUUCAAGUCAUGAAUGGUAUGGCAAAUACUCUUAUAUAUGUGUAGGACAAGCGGCCCUGCUUCAACCUAUAACCUUGAGCUCCCAAAGUGAAUGGAGAGGCAAGCAGCGUUUAUGUAAUCCAAACCGCUGAGCGAGGCUCUAAAAAGUCUACUAGUCCAGUGUACACAUAAAGGGAUGUCAUCAAACUCUGAACAGAAUUUGUGGAUCAGAAUAGAGAACAUUUAUCUUUACUACUGCAAGGAACUUAGGCCAUCAUGUCAUCGAUAAAAUAAAUCUGAAUCAGUAAUUGCAACAUUAAGCCCAGCAACAGCCCAUACUACACGAAAAGGAAAAAAGAGCAAGGAGCAGAAAAGUCCCUUUUGCAUCCUUUGCAUAUCAUUCAAUGGCAAUAUGUUUCAGUAGCACUAUUACAUAAAACAGGACAUAGUCUUUGGAGAUUGCCAAUCAAAGUACCAAAAUUCUUCAUCUUGUUUACUGCUCUGCUACACAACUAAAGAAGAAACGGCUCAGUAAGUAUUUGUUGUUUAUAAGGCAUAUCAGCCUGAUUACUUUCCAGGGUAUUAACUCAACUAGAACUAUAUUAGCUCUUAUGGCCUGCCACCAAAACAAGUUAGGUGGGGACAAGAUUGUAACCUUCUCCUUGAUCAUCAAUUAACAUGAAGCAUAAAUAGUUGCAAAUAUAACAAAGAGAAUGCCGAGUGUGUUGCGAGUAGGCUUCCAGUAGCCUUUCAGACCAUCAACUCUAGGAAGUUCCAACUUUGGAGAAGGUUUUGUUGUAUCCUCAGCAGGGAUAUCUUGUGUUGAAGACACUGAUUCGGAGCUUCCUCGUAAUGCUUCGGACCCUGUAGGUGACUUCCCAUUCCCAUUAAUCUCAAGGCCCCUCAUUUGAUGAACGCCAUUCUGUUUAUAUUUUGAAGUAGGAGUCAUUUCAUAUUGGCUUGAAGGACUUCUGAAUCUCCUAUUUGGUUUGUCAGAGUCUGAACUUUCCUCAUUUUGAUCCUGAAGGGAGUGAAUUAGCUUUCUUGGUGUUGCAAAGAUCUUUACACUGUCAACAUUGAUGAGAGAGCGAGAACGCUGAUAGAUAUUGCACACGAGAAACAUAUGGGUCAGCAAAAGCAAAAGCAUUUUCAAACAGACUACAAAGCAUGAACAUGUUCACAAAUUAAAGCUUUGGAGUAUUCUAUGCAGCAAAUUCUCUUGUCUCUAAAGGUGAGGUUCAUUAUUCAAUUUAAACAAAUGCAAAUCUGCACUAGGAUCUUAGACUUCUUUAAAAUGCAUCAUCAAAUCAUAUUCCAUGGAGAUGUUUUCUUCUUAUGCCAUUUUCUUGCUAUUGAAUUCAAAAUCCAGCAUGAAAUUGUUGUUCCAGACGUGUGAAUAUUCAAAUGCCUAGUAGGCCUACCUGAGGACUGGGAGUGGCACUUCUUACAACUCUAUUUCUGGAACUAGUUUGGCAAAAUCCAACAAAUCCAUCCGUAUAAUCUCCAGAGAAAUCAGAAAAACCAUCAUGCUCAGAGCUCCCCAUGGCACUUCCGCGUGUUACCUCUGAAAAGAUACCAUCCUUGAGAGAGACGUCUAAAACACCAUUCUCACACCUUGACCACAGUUUCCGAUUCACACUCCUUCGAUCAUAAGCAAAGUCUGGAGAGGUCUGAUUCGUUGAAAUUGGGGAGUCAAAGAAGGAAUCGUGCCCACAAAAUGAAUUGACAGUCUGUGAUUCAGGUGAAGCUGUCAGAGGUGAUUGAUCCCCAGAAUCCGACAAAUUUCUUCUUCUUAAAUUUCCUCUCCUGUCAAAAUUUGAGCCAGUGACUGAAACCAUAUCUUUCUCAAAUUUUGAGCUUUUCUCAGUACAUAUCUUUCGAGCAGUUUGCAAUGCUUCAAAAGCAGCCCCACUUACGUAAGCCAUCUGAUCAGACUGACAGUUCUCCAUCACCUUAAUUAUUAAUUCCAACUCAGAAGAGAUGCUUUUGAUCCAAACACUUCAUCAAAGAGUUCACCAUAUGAAUGGCGGACAAUCUUUUUUGGGAAUUGGCAUCUUCAUUCAGAAUCUGCAAUCCAGUGCGGAUCAACAACCUUGCAUACGCCUCGACAGUCAAACUGUUGUGCUUAGCCAAAGACAUCACAAGUGCCAUGUGCGAAUUAGUUUGCAAGUGCUUGUCCAAAGCUCCAGCAACUCUCUGACACACCUCAUUCACCAUCCCGUUUGAAGCAAACCUCCAGUUAUCGCACUCUACUAGAGCCUUCAGACAAAGAGCAGCUCCAGAAGAUAGGCUCUCAUGACUGCCCAAAAGACAAUCGGAGAGAGGCUUACAGAGAGAAUGAAUGAUGUGUCUCUUCUUGUCCUCGGGAGUAGUUGGGUCCAUUCCAUAUCUGGCAAUUGCCGGAACCACCUUAGAGCAAGCUUGGUGAAGAGCAAAAGAUCCUGCACUUGACGUCAAAGUCUUGAUAAUAGUGGUCAUGAUGUUGUCAAUUUGAGGGACAAUUUUAUGUCCAUGAACACGAGCAAGAACCUCGUAUAGUGAGAUCGUAUACUCUCCAGAAGAACCAGUUUCUUUGGUCUCGGAAACCUGUGCGAGAAAGAGAGGGAUAGCUUUGGAAUCCAAAUCUUUGACAUAGGAUUUCAAGGCUUUCAUAGCAGAUUUUCGACUGUCAGCAUCCUUGUCAAGAUUUUCCAACUCCCUUCUGACCAUGGGACUAAGACUUCUUAUUCCCAUAGGGAGACCACCUAUAUGUCCCUGAGGAACGAACUCGGUCAGUAAAGAGGUUAAGUGGAAUUUAUCGCGUCAAUUUUUUCUUUAAACUCAAAAAAAAAAAAAAAGAAUUGGUCGUUGUACAAUGAUAUCAAACUUGUGAAAUGAGAAUGACAGAAGUUGGCACACGAUAUGUAACACAAGCAUAGAUCUUGAAAAGGUGAAAACAAGUUAGCUUUGUGGCAGUAAAAUCAAAGGAAAAAAAAUCUUUUUCAUGGGCAUGUCAGAUUUCAAACUUGUAGAAUCAAGAAGCUAGCAGCAUACACAAAUGUCAACCACACAAGAUGUUGAUAUAAAGGAUGCUUCUAGUUUCUUUACUAGGUCACAAAAAAAAACUCAUGCCUUUGGGCGUAAAAACUGCAGAGAAAAUGAAAAGCUACAGCCUUUUAAUUUUUAAAUUUUUUUUUUACAGGAUGGUGAAAAGGGUUGUUGAUAAUAUGGAUAAAUAUGACGUUGUGAAUUCCAAUCAAGAAAAGAGGAAGUGUGGCGACUAAAAUUGGGUGAUGGACUCGACAAGAACCCUCUCCCUGCCCUGCGGUGGAUAAACAUUUGAGGCGUACUUGUAAGAGAAUAAAAAGGAAAGAACUGAAUUGGCAUAAACAAAGACACCCUCCCAAGGGCCAAGAUAGAUAGAUAGACAGAGAGAUGAAGAUCAUGGAAUAGUAGUAGUUAAAUGAAGAAGGCGGUACCUUAUCUGUUAAUAUAGACGAGAGUCCCUCCCUAGUCCCGCCCUAGUGUCGAGUAUUAUGCUGCUUCUUGCUGGGAUUCUUGUGCCAAGAUCUGGGCUUUACGGAAUCUUUUUCUUGCCGUGAUGUUGCAGCAGUAGGUUGUUUAGACUUUUACAUUGCUAAAUGGCAAUGCAUCCCGCCGCCGCCGCCGCAACCCUCAAAGCAAAAGUAAAAUGUGGUUGCCGAAUCAAGCAAGGGGAGGAAGCAGAGAAGAUGUAUUUAUUUAUGUGGGGGAAUUGAAGUGAAGGGGGGCCGGAGAGCUGUGUAAGUAAGUGUGUUGUUUCCUGGCGGGCGCUACUGAGACAGUAUGCGAAGGGGCUUUCCGAUGGUUGUCUGAUUCUGAUAUGAUACCAUAAAAUCUUCUCUCUCUCUCUCUCUCUCUCUCUCUGCCUUUUUUGACAAAAAAUUACAUAAACGCAUAUCAGAAUACUAAUAGUCAGUCAGUCAGCUGGAGCUCGGAUCCAUUUGGGCGGUGUCGGAGUCUAAUUCAUCUUCUUUUGAAUCUUUUUCUUGAAUUCCCCCGCUAUCCUUCCCCAGUCCCCCCGCCCGCCCCUCCUUUUCAAUUCCUUCCUGCUUACUACUCACCCUUCUUUUCACAUUUCAUUUUCCGGUUCCAACCUUUCCUUCCAUUUUUUUUUGGUUUAAAACCCACAGUUCCACGCAACUAAUCGCUGUCACUAGUCCCCCUUUCAUAACUCACAGUUUUUUGUAUGAGUGUUUCGAUAAAUGGACCCUGCGAAGACACUUCAAAAGCCGGCAACUUUUGAAGUGCUCCGCAGCACUUAACUACUAAACCCCCCAAACCCCCCAAGCGAUGUGGGAACUUAACCCCACAGGGUGCCCUGCUGCUAAGAAGUAAAGACCCCCCAGACUCCCCGAGACAGGUUUUUCCCUUUCAUAACUCACAGUUUUUUGUAUGAGUGUUUCGAUAAAUGGACCCUGCGAAGACACUUCAAAAGCCGGCAACUUUUGAAGUGCUCCGCAGCACUUAACUACUAAACCCCCCAAACCCCCCAAGCGAUGUGGGAACUUAACCCCACAGGGAAUCGCUGUCACUAGUCAACAGUGCGUACAACUGUAAACGAAUCAAAUCGAAUCGAGUAUCUCAUGUUUGAGCUCUGUUCGUUAAGUGAUUCGAACAACGUUCGUGUUCGUUUGUUAAUUUUCGAACUCCAAAUUUGUGUUCGUGUUCGGCUCGUUAAGCAAAGUUUCGUGUUCGAAUUCGAGUUCGUGUUCGGUUCGAAAUGCUCGAAUCCAAAUUAUUUUAAGCCUUAAAUAUGCCAUGCAAAUUAUUACUCAUUCUAAAAAAUAAUUAAAGUAUUAAGUGACUAAAUUCUAUUAUUCAUUAACUAUAUAACUAAGGUUGUGUUUGGAUUGCAUUUUCCGUCAUUUUUCAUGGAAAAAUUACUGUAGCGAUUUGAUAUAUGUGAGGGAAAAAGGUGAUAGGGAAAUGUGAUCACGGAAAACGAUAAUAUUUUCCGACGAAAACCUUCAAUCCAAGCAAGGCCUAACAUUAACAUAAAAACAACAAAUAAAAAAACAAUUUGCCCUCCAAGUAUAAAAGUUCAGUCAUAAAAUUAACCUUAAAUUUUGUCAAAUGAUAAUUAUGUUCAUGUUCGCGAACGUUCGUUAAAACUUGCGAACAUACUCGUGUUCGCGAACGUUCGUUUAACAUGUUCACGAACGUUCGUUAAAACUUGCGAACAUGCUCAUGUUCACUCGAUUAUUAAUCGAACAAAAAAAUUCGUUUGAACUCAAUCCGUUUAAAGUUUCGAACGAGUCUUUUACGAACACGAACGAGUCGAAACGAAAUGAGCUACCGAACAACUCGGUUCGUUUAACAGCUCUAGCAGUGCGUAUUGCUGCUGCUGUUUUACCAAAUAUGUUACGAUUGUUUGCUUAAUUAUUCUAUUAGCUUUUCCUCUUAAUGUUGUAAAUUUUUUUUAAAGGAAACAUAUCCGUUUGGUUUAGGAUGCAAAGAAAAAGGGUGAAAAAAAGGAAAGGAGGUGGUAGAUGAUACUGCUAGAGGGCCCCUCGGGGUGCAGCUCACCUGGUCGUGUCGUCUGUCUUUACAGCAUCGAUCACAGUUCGAUUCUCCCUGAAUUAAUGCGCUGGGGUGAUUCCAAGAUACUCCUGUGUCGACAAAAAAAAAAAAUACUACUAAAGUAAAAAAAUAGGACAGAGAGCAAAUUUUACUUCAUGGGACAACUUUGUCCUUCCUUACAUUAAUAAUCAUUACUUCAAUUAAUUCGUUCAAGCCCCGUAACAAACCUCUUUUUUUUCCUGUUCUCAACUCCAACAAAUUUUCGGUCCUUGAUCAUUAUGAUCGCCGUAACACUAAAGCUGCCGUCGAUCACUGCCACAACCAUUGACCUCCUGCCCAAUUUCAUCUAAAAAAUUCAACAAAAGCUUAUUAGUCUUCCCUAAUUGAAAUGGACAAACUUCCCUUUGACACUUUCUUCCAACCAAAUUUCAUCUCUCAGCAUAUGUCCUCAUUUUUCUAUUCCAAUCAACCAUUCAUAAGUUUAAAGGCGAGAUAUGUGACACAUGUUAAUCCAAAUAAUAUGCAAGUUCAACCAAUAAAAGGGUGACCAUUAACUACUCUUGGGAAACAAAACAAAAAAAAACAAAUGCCUUGCAUAAUCCAUUUGUUGGUUCUUUCUUCACGAUCAUUGAUUUCAAUUCUAGAAGAUGAGAAAGAAAAAAAAAAAAAAGUGAUUCGCAGAGUAUUGGAGUGUUUGGAUAGCAUUACUAUUAUCUCAAAUAAUAUUUCGUUUCCCAAUCAGACUAGCAUUCAUUUGAUUGUAAGGUGAGGCAUUUGAAAUUAACUGCUGAUGUAUUAGUAUUAAAUUGUUCUUUCCCUUUCUCCCUUCUCCUUUGCCUCUUUAAUUCUACUCCAACAUGAUCAUUUUACGAGAAAUCCUCUGUGGCCUGCACAUCCAUCCGUCCCACUGUAACUGUUGGUUGAAUUAUGGUAAUUUUUUGAUUGACAAGAAAUUUCAUCGAGUAGGUGUACGUAUACGAUCCUAGAGUGGAGGAUUCAAUUUAUUCAGUCUAAUUAAUGAACAUUUGGCUACAGGGUUUUACAUUUCAAUCCACGGACUACCGAAUUUGCAAGAAUUACAACGCUUCAAUACGUUGACAAUAAUUGACUUCUGGCUGCCAGUUUUGAAUAAUAAUAAUGAUGACAAAAUACUCUUAUCGAUUAAUUUGUCAUGGCUAUUGAUGGAUGUCUUAAAAUGAAUAGAAGUUGAUAUUUGGCAAAUAAAAAAUGAUUUAGACCGUAAUGAAUAGGGGUGUGCAAAAUCGAAAAAUUUCGAUUUAUCGACCGAAUUCGAAAUUUUUGAAAUCAGUAAUUCGGAAUUCGGCACUGAAAUCGGAAUUUCCGAUUUCGAAAUCAGAAAUCGAAUUCGGAAUUUUCGAUUUCAAUUUCGUUUUAUAAUAUAUAUAUUAAUAUUUAUUUAUUUAUAUAUAUAAUAUUUUUUAUUUCAAUUUCGUUUUAUAAUAUGUAUAUUAAUAUAUAUUAUAUAUAUAAGAAUAUUUUUUAUAAUAUAUGCAAUAUAAAAUUUAUAUUAUAUAACAAUACAUCUAACAAAAAAGAAAAAAAGGGGAAAAAGGUUUCCGAAUUCCGAAUUGAAUUCGGAAUCGAAAUCGAAAUCGGAACUGGUGAAUUCGAAAUCGAAAUCAGUUGGUAAUUCUUAUGCCAAAAUUCCGAAAAAUUCCGAAUUCAAACUUCCGAAUUAUCGAAUUCGAAUUCGAUGCACACCCCUAGUAAUGAAAGAAAGGUACUUGUUUGGAUUGCAUUUUUUUAAAUUUUUUGUAAAAAAAAUUAUUGUAACGAUUUGAUAUACGUGAGAUAAAAAGAUAAUUAAAAAAUGUAUUCACAGAAAAUUGCUAUCCAAACAAGAUUUCCCGCCUUUACAUGAUUCCUGAUAUAUGCUCGUUGGCGCCUGUUCUCGUUAAAUGAUGCCCAAAGCCAAAGGAACGAUAUCCUCUUUGGAACUACAGAGUCUGGCAGAGGCAGAGACAGCGACGUCAGUAGCACAGGGCAUUGGGGCUCCCAACUCAUUCUCAUCCUAUCGUCAAAAGUUCUAUAGACUAACGGUAACAAAAGAAACUCAAGACGGGGACCCUUCUCCCUGUCCCUGACCUUUGGACCAACAAUUAUAUACUCUAACAAUUCGAUUCCAGUGAUUCAUUUCCAAGCCAAAAACCCAAAAGAGAAACUGUACGAAGUAAAGGAAGCCUCGUCAAAAAGCAGCUUCAACCUGCAAUAUAUCACACCAUUUCCUUCCAUAAACCAACAAGAAUCUAUCAAACUACACUUUUUAUGAAGUCGUAGAAUCAGUACAGUCUUUACUUCUUCCAGUCCUUCAUUCCUAAGUCUAAGAAUGGAGGAGUAGUUUCUUUGUUCUUGGCGGAAACUACUGUUGCACCAUUGACCUGCAGCUCCUCAACCCCAUUUACAGUUUUACAGCCGCCAAUAAACAUACAUCCACCCCUCCUCCACCCUCCAUACAUAACAUUACUUCAUUUUGCUGACAUUCAUGAUUAAACUUAACAAACGUAAUCAAUAGAACCUCAACCAUUUAACUUCAAACGAUGCCUCCAAGAAUAAAUGAAUGAUUCGCAUCAUACCAAAGGGAAAAAAUAUUUGAUAUGAAUGAUUGAGCUGUACAGUUGUAAGCAAGACCAGUUUAGAGCUAAUUGUAUCUUACCUCACGGUUAUCAUUCAACCACUCAUUCUUAGCCAUACCAUGGAGAAGAAUCCCAAGUUUCUGCUGAAGCACAUUCAUUCAUUCUGGAUGUCGGAGCUAUCGCUUGAGAUUCACUAGUCCCAAAACUAAAGGAAUGAAAUGCAACAAUCUCAGGAGUCACAAAUCGACACAAGUUACGGAACAAGAAGUCAUGCAUCCAUAAUUUGGGCUAACUAAACGUGCUGCGCCUCCCCGUACAUUCCCUCUUACUCCACUACACGUCUCAGAUUCAACUAAAUCCCCAGUUUUACUACAUGGGCAUGCAUUGUGAAGUCCUACACCAGUUGGAAAUUGUGCUAUGGCUUCUAAUCUACAGCUUCUUCAUCUGGAAGGGAAAAAAAAAGGGAAAGACACUGAUUUCACAAGUUACCAGAAAUAUUCAUACAUUCCGUAUGAAACUUGACAUAAAAUGAUAAAAUUUCUAAUCGACCAUUUUGUUUCAUUGAACAGCCAGAACCCGACAGCAGGCAGAGCAAACUUUGCUUCAUUUGGACUGACAGGUUAAUUAAAAUCAGCAUCAAAAGCAAAACCCGUUCCAAACUCUUCAUUUCAAUGUCUGUCACACUCCUGGUCCCAAUCCCCUUCCCGGUAAUCAACCUUCUUUCAUUGAGGCAUUUCGUAAAGUUUUUUUUUGCACUUGUCAUUCUCUAAGAACUAAGUUAUGAAGGAGAGAAGCACUGGCUCAUCUAUUCCCAAUCAUCCUGCUGGUAAAUCAUCGCAAGGAAAGAAAAAAUGUAAAGGUAAUAAACUGAGCUACUUUGAAAGAUUAAACAGAGUAUGAGUUCGAAUAUUCCUAGAUAUGUCAGCUUCAAGUGGAAGAAAUUAUCUAUAGCCACCGGAGUUAAUUCAUGAAUCUUGGAAUUAAUAUAAAUACAUUCUGGAAUUAAUUCAUGAAUUUUGUGCCAAUAGUUCAAAGUUUCUUCAGAUUAUAUUGGAACGGGAAAAUAUACGAAGCUUAAGCUGCACAAAUGACAAAACACACAGACCUUCUGCAAAAUGGUUGACUUUAGACUCUAAACAAGACACUUACUAUGGCUACCUAUCAAGCACAGGCUGGCACGAACAACCAGAACGUACCAGCAAUUUGCAUUUCAGAAAAUAAAGCGAAUGCUACAGAAAAAUACACAUUUUCUCAUAGAACUCUAUACUACCAGAAAUUGAAAGGCAUACUCAUUCUUACACCAACAGAAGUAUGGUGGAGAAGGAAACAUGAAAACAAAUAGCAUUGCAUCAUCAUAAAAGGAAACAAACGGGAACUCAACAGCUACACGUUCAUAAACCUUUAUAACCAACAAAACAGGAGUAACCUCCAGUGGAGAAUGCAUUUUGUUGCACUAAUAAAUUAACUCUAGGUGUUGCCAUAUCUGUCCGGCUUAUUUUGCUCUUUAGCAUAAAUAAAGUUAAUCAUACAUUUUUAUUUGGAGUAUGAAAUGUAACAUAAAAAUGCAGAUGGCUCAAGUAGCAGCAAGAAUCACAAAGUAGCAAGGACUAGCCAAAGUUUUCUUCACUCAGCAUACACAUUGAAAGCCUUGCAUGCUUAAAUGGACAUGUAUAAAAGAAGAAUAGAUAGCUUUUUUUGCCCCUUUCUGUAGAAUACGGCAUAACCGUCAAAAGACACAAUUGCAUUAAUCAUCAUGGCUAACAAUCAGUGCGGGUACUAGGAGAAAAAAGAUACUACAUCGUCGCCAAUCUUGCGAGGUUGUAAAUUCCAAAGAAAAGAGACUACACCAAAUAUACACUCCAGCAGUUGCAUUAAUGAAAAGGAGACAUGAAGAUGAAGUGAGGAUUUACUAAUGCCGAUAGAAGUAGUCCAUUUGAUUUAUUAUUGUGCAUCGAGGUGGUUCAGAGAGAAGAGAGAUGGUGGAUGGGUGAAGACUUAGACGUAGCCACCAUUGACGCGAAUGAUCUGACCAUUAACCCACCCCCGCAUCAGUAGCCAGGAAUCCCACCAGCGGAGCCACGUCCUCUGUUUCGCCCAGUCUACCGAGCGGGCUCUCGUCCACAACCCUCUUGAUCAUCUCUUCUGUCAUCCCAGCAAAGAACAUGUCCGUGGCGAUAGGCCCGGGGCCACGCAGUUGGCGGUUAUACCGGUCCCCUUGAGCUCCUUGGCCAGUAUCUUGACCAUGGACUCCACGGCGGCUUUGGACCCCACGUAGGCAGCGAAGCCAGGCCUCAAGUCGGCCACCAAGGAGGUGGUCAAGCAGAUGAUCCUCCCUCCGCCGCCGCGCUUGAUCCUGUUGGCAGCCUCCCUGCAGCACAAGAAGGCCCCCUGGCGUUAACGUUGAAGAUGUUGUCGAAGUCUUCCAGGGCGGUGUUGGCCAGGGUUGGGUACUUGGAGUCGAGUACACCAGCGGAAUUGACGAGGAUAUGAACAGGGGAGGAGUUGAAGGCGGACUCGGCGGAGUCGAAGAGGGACUUGACCUGGGCUGGGUCGGAAAUAUCGGCUCUGACGGUGAUGGCGCGGGAAGCAGAAGCAGAAUUGAUUUGGGAGGCAACGAGGUCGGCUUGAGCUGGGUUGGAGGAGUAGUUGAUCACGAGGUUGGCUCCGAGAGAGGCAAGAUGGAGGGCUAUGGCCCGCCCAAUUCCCCUGGAGCCGCCGGUGACGAUGGCUACUCGGUCUUUGAGAGGGAGGGGGAUGGAAUCAGCCAUGCUGCCGCCUGAUCCUGACUCCUGCUAACUGCUAAGUUGAAGUAGCGAAAAUGGAUUGGAUGUCUUUGGUUUGAUUUGGGAUUAUUUAUAGCUACGGACAUUGCCUUAGUUAUACUGAUACAUGCCAUGCGGGAAUUUUUUUUUUUUUUAAAACAAACGACAUUUUGUGGUUUUUGGGUUGGGGGGGUUGGUUGUUGGUUUAAGGGACCGCUGCACAUUGAUUAGAAUCUGACAUUUGCAUCAUAAUCCACACAAAUGGCGGCUCUCACCAUUCUUACGAAUAAUCUGGCCAAUGACCCACCCCAGCACCAGCAGCCAAGAAGCUACAGGGUUUCUUCACCAUUCCUCUGGUUACCCUAGAAUGGAAGUCCACGCAUAAGGAGGCCCCGGUAGGCAAUUAUCCUGGAUCCUAUGAGCUCCUUGACCAGUAGCUUCACCAUGGACUUUAGGGCUGUCCUCAGAGCCAGCAAAUGUCCUAAGCUGGGAGCCAAUUAAGCUACAGCCAUGGAUGGGGAUAAGCAUAUGAUGAUUCCUCAUCUGUGCCUUAUCCUGUUGGCAGCCUCCCUGAAUCAUGAGAAGCCAACCCCUGCAUUGACGCUGAACCUGCUUUCAAACUCUUUGAUGGUGGUGUUUGCCAAUAAGGGAAACUUGGGGAUGAAGAGCUGACAAGUGGAUGAAACUAUGAAGCAGGGAGCUUGAGCAGAGUGAUGUACUUGAUGACAAGCUCGGCCCCAAGUGAGCCUAGAUUGAGGGCAAUGGCCAGCCCUAUUUCAAGAGAGCUUCCAGUUUACGAUGUCUAACCAGUCUUACAGAGGAAGGAUGGUGGCUUGCAUGCUUCCUGUCUGAUUGGUGGUUUGUGGUAAUAUUGGUUUGAACAGUAAUCCUAAGGAUUCGAGCAGAGAAGAAACUGACAGCUGGUUAUAUUCUUCCCAAGAUUUGGUAGAAAUACCAAAAAAUAGACUCGGGAAGCUUUUGUCUUCUUGUUUGGCAUGUAAAUAUGUUACUUCCAUCCCAGCCGAUCAAUGAUAUGUAGCACUAUUAAUCUUGGAUCCAAUAAACUCAUAUUGGACGGAUAUUGAUUUAUUGAACACCUCCUUCAGUUGAUUAAUAUUGAAAUUAAUUUGCUCUGCAGAAUCAGACAGAGUUCUCAUCCCAUGUCUACUGCAUCUGCCACCAGGAAAAUACAAAAGAAAUAUAAAUUUUCCAACCUUACCACAUUGAUCAGCAUAUGCCAAAAUAUAGCACUGUGAAAAUUUUAUGUUAGAUAGGAUUUUUGGAGUCCAGAUUCUAUGACAAUUUUCAAUUCAAUACAGCACUAUUAAUUAUAAUACAUGAAGUCGAUUAGGAUAUGCUUGUACUCACAAGGUUUUUUGUCCCCCUUCUUUUGGGGUAAUCAAUAAGCUAGUGUAUUUGAUAUAUUGACCAGUCAGAAAUGGGCUUCUAUUGUUCAUAUGACCUCCAAAAUUCAGUGUUUGUUUCUUCAAUGCAAGUACAAUUAUGUGAGAUACUGAGGACUACAAAAAAAUACCUUGGCUAUUUUGUUCCCUUAAUUACUAAGUCUUGAAUUGUAUUGAAUCAACAAUCGAAUAGAGAGGAGAAGAUAUCAGAACACUGUUUCUCCCCUCCAAUUAUAAACAUCUAUCUUGCAUUAUUAUCUACAAGUGAGAAUCUCACCUAAAAACUUGAUUCCAGUUUGGCUUGUCCAUAUCUCCACGAAAGGACGCAUAAAGACCAGGGUCCUCCUGAAAAAGAACAACACCAAAUCAACAUCGACAUUUUCAUAAUGCCUCAGUACUCAAAACAACUUGGCAAGCACCUGAUCAUGCAGAAACCAAAGUGGAUUGAGUUAUGAGUGUGACAAGACUUGACCAAGGGCUUUACCUUUGAAAAGAGAUACAUAAAAGACAUCAUCACGUGUAAGAAAGGACAAUUGAAACUUAAUGCUUGUGGCGUUCAUCAGACUACGAUUUCGUUAAAUUAAAGACACGCAAAUAGCACAAUUAUCAUUUAGCCAACUAACCACGAAAAGUAGUUCUUUGUAAGUGCUAAGAAGUUCAAAACCAAAACCCAACACACACUAGAAUUGACUGACACUACUGGUAUUCCAAGAGAAAGCUGUAAAACUAGAUAAUGCAAAUUUGCCAUGAUCAAAAAGAGAUAGGUUUAGGUAAAAUAAAGGCCUAAAAUAAAUGCUGUUAAACUUUAUCUGUAUAAUGGCUAAGCAGUACAAGUCUUAAAACAGUUUCAAUCUGAAAAGCAAAAAUAGAGAUGGUUGAGGGCAGAAAGAAAAUGGAGCCCCUCUGCUGUCUCCUAAUUCUACAUGAAAGGGACAAUGCAGUAGUGUACGGUCUCAACAUACUUCAAUAUGCCACAAUGUGACAACAGAAGUGGUUGUUCUUCUGUGCAGUGCAACCCAUUCAAGUCAAUAUAGAAAAAACACCAAACUGAAUGCAAGGUUGACAGGGUGUUAGUACUUGUACCAUUAUCAAUCAGACAGCAAACUGCAACGAGAUAAACCAGGAAAAGUGAAAGAACUAACCUAGUUAAUUACAAGAAAAAGGUUUUGGGAGCAAAAAUUUCCCAAUCUCCUACUUUUGGUUCUUGAGCUGGAAGCAUGAUGAUCCCACUUGUGUUCACAACUUUCUAAUAUAUCAAGCUACCAGUAAUCUUUGCAUGAACAAAACCAUCCUUAAAAUGAUGGAACCGGUAUGUAUCCCUUACAACAAUAGUCCGAUUUUCUACCUUUGAAACAUACUUAAUCCAAUUAUGGCAAUCAUUACAGACCCGAAGGUUUUUCAUCACUCGUAAUGGAAUUGAAUCAGACAAGCUCAGCAGUCCAAAGGCAAUAGCCAACUUUUCGCUGUGGAUCAAUGCAGUUGGGUCUUUUUGACCAAGCUCCAGUCAUUCCAAAUGCUAUAUCGGUCCUGUAUGUAACCCAUUGCAGCAACCCUAACAUUUAAAUCCUCAAGAAACGCGUAGAUCUGAUCUGCAAGAGGAUGGAGCUGAUCACCGACGAAAAAGGCAUGGAACGAGUUUUUAACUUCAAUCCAGCUACGACCAGGCUCUUUCUUUACACCUCUGUCUUUCAUCAGCUUCCUUGCAUGAUUGCGAUAAACCCAUUUCCCGGAAACCGCAUACAUAUUGGAUAGAAGAACGUAGGUAGCAGAGUCAUUUGGCUCUAAUCUCAAAAGAUGUUUAGCCGCCAAUUCUCCAAUUUCCAUGUUCUUGUGAACUGUGCAAGCACUUAAGAGUGUUCUCCAGACCAUUGCAUCUGGUUCAAUUGGCAUAGUCUCCACAAAUUCUAUUGCACGGGACAAAUGACCUGCCCGUCCUAAAAUAUCUACAAUACAAGCAUAAUGUUCUGAUUUUGGCACCAGAUCAUGUUUUUCUCUCAUGGACUUGAAAUAGCUGAGCCCCUCAUCCACCAAACCCACAUGGCUACAGGCUGAUAAAACUCCGAUAAAAGUAACGUUAUUUGGCCUCACAUCCAGUUGUUUCAUUUCCUCAAACUGUUCAAUUGCUUCGGCGGCACAUCCAUGUUGAGAAUAGGCCGUGAUCAUGGCAUUCCAGGAAACUUCAUUUUUCUGAGGCAUUUCAAGAAACUCUCUUUUGGCAUCAUCAAGGCUCCCGGUCUUCGCAUAUAAUGUGAUCAACACAUUUGAAGCUUCUAUCUCAGCAAUAUACCCAGUUUUUAUGAUUUUGGCAUGAUCUGCUUCCCUUGUUUUAAGUUUGUUGUAUUAGCAGCUGCACUGACCACAGACCCAUAAGUGAACAUAUUGGAUUCUACUCCAGCUAGAUUCAUCUUAGAGAACGUGUAUAGAGCUUCCUCCCAGUGCCUGCUUUGUGAAAAGCCUGAUAUCAAUGCAUUCCAUGAGAUGUUAUCCUUAUUUUUAUUUUUGUCAAAUGCCAAGUACGCAUCCUGUACUUUGCCGCAUCUAGCAUAAAGGCUUAUUAGUGCAUUGCUAAUUGACGGGUCCAAGGAAUAGCCAGAGGUGAUUGAUUGUGCAUGAAUUUGUCGUCCUUGAUUGAUUGCUUGAAGUCCAGCACAUGCAGUAAGAGCACUUGCAAAUCCUAUAUUAUCUGAUUGAAUGCCCAAGUCUUGCAUUUCUAUGAAAAGUUUGAGGGCUUCCAAGAAAAGAUCAUGCUGAGUGUAUCCAGCAAUCAUUGCUGUCCAAGAGACAAUAUCUUCCUCUGUGAGACGCCUGAGAAUUUUCAGCCCAGUAGCCAGAUUUCCAUGUUUUGUAUACAUAUCAAUAAGCACACUGCAGACAUAAGCAUUUUGGUAAAGUCCAGUUUUGAUGACUUGACUGUGAAUUUGCUCCCCUAAGUCAAGAGCUCCUACCAGAGUACAGGUUCUCAAGAUACUUGGGUAGGUAUAUUGAUUAGGCUGCAGGCCUCGACUCUGCAUCUGUUCAAAAAUCCUAACGGACUCGUUCAGAUCACCUCUGAGACCAUAAGCCACUAGCAUCACAUUCCAGAGAACCACAUUAUCUUUCUGUGUUGUGAGGAAGAAUCUAUGAGCUGAUUCAACAUCAGAACAUUUGACAUAAAGGUCAAGCAGAGAACCUUCAAUGAUGAUAUCUGAACACAUUCCAGCCUUAAGCGCAUAAGAGUGCAGUUGUCUUCCCUUCAGAAGAGCUCCAUUGAUGCGCAAGCGCUCAAAAGGCUUGAAAUUGUAACACAGUCAGGCUUCAAGGAGUCAAUCUGCAUUUUCUUGAAUAACUCAACUGACCUCUCAUUAUUUCCUUGUUGAACAAGUCCUGAUAUAAGUGAAUUAUACGAGACCCUAUCCAUCUGCUGCAUUUUGCUGAAAAUUUGUUCAGCAGACAUCGGGUGACCGAAGCGAGAAUAUAAGGUGACGAGAGCAUUACACACAUAAACCUCUGAUGCAAAUCCCCACUUAUAGACAAGAGCAUGAAGCUGCAAUCCAGGUCAUAAAACUCUAUCUUGGAGCAUGCACUUAUAACACAUGAGAAAAUAUAUGGAGUAGGGUUGAUUCCUGAUAUGCGCAUCUCAUUAUAGAGGAUGAUACUGUCUUCUUCACGCCCAUUGUUAGAGAAACCAGAUAUCAUGGCAACCCAAGAUACACUGUCCCUUAAGAACAUAUUCUGGAAGAUUUGCUUAGCAGAAUUGAUGAACCCAUUCUUCGAGUACAAGUCAAUAAGAGGGUUACAAACGACUGUAGCUGCACCAAAACCGUAUUGGAUGACCUUAGCAUGUAUGUGUUCAACGUAUUGAAAAGUGACUUUGCCAGCACCGCAGGCCCUCAAAACACUAGCCAAUGUCCAUUCAUCCGGCAUAACAUUAUCUGCAACCAAACGCGAAAGGAGUCUAAAAACUUGAUUGUUCAAUUUUUCCCAAGAAAACCAGCUAUCAAUGUAUUCCAAGAGGACAGGUUUUUAGAGGGAAAAUCAUCAAACGUCUGCAAAGCAGAAAAUAGAUCUCCACAAGCAACAUAAACAUCAAGGAGCCAACACUGGAAGUCGUGGUCUUGACCGAAACCCAACUUAAAGAUCUUUCCUUGAAUCUUUCUGGUAUGGAUUAAGGACCCAAUGUUCAUACUAUAACAUUCAUUUACAAGCUCUAUAUAGGUCUUAGAAUAAACGGCAGGAAGAUCAACUGAGUCCGCAGCAUUUCCUUUUUCAACAGAUAAAUCAUCCAAAGCUCGUGCAGCCGCAAUAUUACUAAAAGCAGCAAACUUUAACCGAAUAGAGUUCUUCACAAGAGCUCUGUAAAAUUUGACUAGUAAGUGGACUAAGAUCUUGCCAAAGAACAGCAAUAAAGUAGCAUAUUGCAUAUAAAAAGUUUUUUUUUAAAAAAAAAAAAAAAAGAUAAAAGGAGUGAAUGAAGAAAAAUGGAAUAGUUGGGAGUAGCUUAUCGACCUUUGGGAAGUGAUGACGAAGAAGCAGAGAAUAGGGGCACAGCCCACCAAACUUUAUUAGGUUUGAAAUCAUAUGACUCCUUACUAAUGAUAAUUGUAGAUGGUGUUUGGCGAGGAGGAAAAUAGAGAGAAAUUGGGGAGGGUGGGGUGGGAGCAGAGAGACUUUGUUUGAAGUAGAAGGGGGCCGCUAUUGUUGCUGCUAUGGAGUUGCGGUUGUUUGGGUGGAAUCAGCGAGAGAGAGAGAGAGAGAGAGAGACAAAAGCAGGGGAAGGGGGCAACCUUGCAGCCUUGGACGGCGGUGAGUGGUUGUUGGGAGGCUGCUGCCGCCACUGCUGUGAGUGGUCGGUAAGCCCCUUGUGGCUAAUUUGACGGGCCAAAAAGCGUCUGCUGACAGGUUGCCGUGCUGAGUUAGCACGGCAGCGACAGAGAUUUUUAAAUUUUAAAUGGCGUCGUAGCAGAUUUUUGAUAGCAGCCGUUGAUCAAUGGCUAGAUCGACGGCUAGUAGCUUCUCAUGUAUUGUAAACCCGCUGAAAACCCUCAACUCUCUGAUUUCUACCACAUUUCUCUCAUCUCUCCCUCUCUCUCAACCCUCUCAAUUCUCAUUCUCUCUCGUCCGCACAAAGGAAAGGAAAAUAGGAGCAGACCUCCGCCGCCGUGUUUCCAAGUCCUGACGCAGAUGAUCUUUUAAAGCACAGCUCAAGAAGAAGUAAGGGGAACACUUUUUUAUUCUUUUAAUCAAUUAUUGUUUGUGUAUACUUUAUUUUGCUGUAUUAUAUAUCAUUGUCUUAUUUAUUUCCUGUGAAACUGGUUUUAGACAAAGAAUUUAAUUGUAUAUUGUGUUACAAUAAAGUUUAUAAUAUAUUGUUUUAUGUUAUGUUGUUUAGGUGGUCCGAGCAUGUAAAUUAAUAGUAAGUUUAAAUUAAUGGUUCAUAAAAAUAAAAUGAUUUAGAAUUAAUAUGUAAUUUAAUUUAUGACAUUGAAGAACAAAUUAAUAUAGUAUUAACAUUUUGUUCGUAAUUUCAUAAUACUAUUAAGUUUUGUUAAUUGGCCAUGUGAUUAAACAGAUUAGUUAGUUACUAAUUUAAUGGGUUAAAUAUAGGAUUAAGAAUAAAUUAAUUUAGGUAUCAUUGAUGUAGUUUUGACCUAUAAUCAAUGUAAUUAAUUAGGUGUAAUUAAUAAUUUAAAUAAGUGUAAUCAAUGUAGUUAAUCAUUUAAAUAGGUGAAAAAAAAUAAUUUAGAUAAGUGUAAUUAAUCGUAGCUAAUAAUUUAAAUACGUGUAAUUAAUGUAGUUACUCAUUUUAAGUAGGUGUGAUUAAUCGUAGUUUUAGCAUGUUAGUUUUUGUCGAUGGUGAGAUGUAUUAAACUAAUGUUGUGCUAUAUUAGGGAGAACAUGUCGAGCAAUAAUUCCUUGGUGAUUCAUCUUUAUUGGGGAGGAAAAAUUGUAUAUGUUGGAGGAUCAAUGUUAUAUGAUCCGCCUAUGCCGAAAAAAGUUAUGUUCCUCAGAGAAAGAGUAGGUUUUGAUGAACUGGUGGACAGAGCGUACAACAUUAUGAAUCUAGACCGGAAUAAGUAUAAGAUUAGUUUGAUAUUUCGGAUUUGCCUGCAUUAUGGGGUGUUUGGUGCAAUGCCUUUGAUGGAUGAUAAUGGAGUCGACGGAAUGUACUUUUUGAAAGCUAAUAGUGGACAUGCCACCGAGAUCUACAUAGAGGUGGAGGAGCUCUUAAGCUUGGGACGAUAUGAUACUCAAACUUUGCAAAUUGCAAAUCCACAUAUUGAUGGAGGCACUAGUCUAUGUGGAAAGGAGCCAAUGAAUAUAGGCGGGACAACUAGCUUAUUUAAAAGUCAGUUGAUCCAGUUGGAUUCUGGAGAUGCCCAACCGACUCGGAGAGGAUGCAGAAGGGGUACUGGGCGGCAACAUAUUGAGAUGGAUCGUCCAAGCGGUAGUCGGCAGGCAAAACGCAUGUCAAUAGUUGAGCCUCGUGAUUUGGAGACUAAUGCAGCUACAGUGUUCGAGCCCACGACAAAUACUGAUGUUGAAUUUGUAGAUGUGGACGUGGAUUCCGAACCAGAACCAGACACCGAUGAUUCUGUUGAUGAUGACCACAACUAUGAUGCAUCUGAGCAGAGAAGUAAGUCAGGCGAAGGUGGUAUCACCUCAUACACGUUGAGCCUAGUGCACCAUGUACCAUUGAUGUAACACCACAAUUGCGGUAUGAAGCCGGUGUUGAUGCUACGUUACGAUUUGAUCCUCUAGAUGUGAGAGGUGUUGAGAAGCUCAAAUUUUGGAAUGAGCACACGAAAGAGCUACAAUUGGGGUACCUAUUUCACACCAAAGAACAUGUAAAGCGGGCAGUGAAGUUGUGGUCUAUAAAGAAAAAUAGAGAGUAUAAAGUCCGAGAGAGCACUCCAACAACAUGGUAUGUCCGAUGCAAGGCUCGCAACUCCACACCUUCGUGUAACUGGCAGUUGAGAGCAACCUUACGCAGUUCUCAUAAGCUGUGGAUGAUUGUUACUCUUGCAGAUGAACAUACAUGUGUCUGUGUGUGCAACAAUAGUGACCACAGACACUUGAGUGAGGAUAUAAUUGCCGAGUACAUUAUCCCUCACAUCAUCAAAGAUCCAUUUUUCAAAGUAAAGAAAAUCCAAACAAUGGUGAAAAAGGAGCUCCACUGCAAUGUGUCAUACAAGAAAGCUUGGUCUGCUCGGCGCAAGGCUAUUAAUAUUAUAAACGGUGAUUGACCAUCAUCCAUAUCGUAGCUGCCAAUGUACCUGCAGGAGUUCCAAUGAUUCAACACAAGCAUGUCAAAGGACAGGGGCUAAGAGAUUUUGUUACUCGACAACACCUUGUGAUAAAGGCAAAAGAAGCGUGCAUCCUUAAAUUGCCAUUUCUUGUACAUUUUUUACACUAAUUACUUUAAAUUAUCUCUUUAAUUAUUUGAAAUUUAAUUUAUUUUUCUAUAUUUUUAUUCAACCUAAUUGUUUUAAAGUAGAAUAACAUUCCCUAUUUAUUUUAAAUAAAAAAGUAUAAAUAAUUAGAUGAAUAAUUAAAAUUAGAUAAUUUACAUAAUUUAAGGUUAUCCAAAAAAAGUAAAAGAAAAACUCGCACUCUAUCUAAACUAAGAGAUUUUACUACAAAAGACUUACAAACUAUGGGAGAACCCCUCAUUUUUUUUUAAAAAAAAUUGCAUUUUAUGGGCUCUUAAUUUAUAUUACAAAAAACUAUUUCAACACUGUAGACAUUAAAAAUAAAAAAUUUUCAAAUUCUUCAGAGACAUGGCGAGCUCUCAUUCUUUAAAAAAAAAAAAAAAUACUAUUGUUGCUGUGCUGAGCCAUUUUCUGCAGAGUUCCUGUCUCUGCAUGGAAUAAGCUACCAGGAAGAGCAGUAAGCAAGUACGACGUGCCAUUGCCACCACUUUUAUGUCAAAUUAGACCAUUUGGUGGAUUACUGGUAUUUCCUCAAGAUCACUUGCAAAUCUUUUGCAAUCUCCAUCACAAAGAGGGUCGAGAUGGCUUCGCUUGGAAAAGUGGAUAGGAGACAAGAAUGCUCCAACAUAUCUGUUUUUAGUUGAUCCGUUCUGGGAAUCCCGUGACAAACAACAGAUCAUGGUACAAAUCGCACGGAACUCUAAAGCGCUAUAAAGCAUCUGGAUCACAUCACUUAGAAGCACUUGAUGAUCAUCACAUCAAGCACGAGCUUAGAACAGACAAUUAUUGUUUGCUGCACACUAGUUAGCGUCCCUGAAACCCCAUGUGCCUGUUUUUUGCCAUAGAAGGUAGCCAUCUCUCCCCCCUAACCUUUUUCAAACCUGUCACUCGCUCUUCCUCUCUUUUAGCAGCUGCCUUAGCUGCUGCUUCUCUAGCUUCCAAUUUUGCCAAUGCUUUCUGGCCUGCAUCUCUUGCUGCAGCUAAAAUAUCCAUCCCAUCAACAGCAACAGACUGGAGUUGCCGUUUAAACUGCAAACAAGCCCAAAGGAUAUAAGGCCAGUAAGUUCUGAAAAAGCAUACACUUAUACACACCUUUUUUUGGGUUUUUUGGUCGGGGAGGGGGGUGUUUCUAAGCAUACCUUCUUUGACUUCUCGUCAAUCUCUUCUCCAGGAAGUAUUCUUGGUUUCUUAUUUGGUGGUUGAACUUCAUCUGAAAAAUGGUAAAUGUUGCUUUUAUAUCCCUAGGCAAUGCAGAAGAGAACGCAUAAGAAGUAGACACCAAAAAAUGGUUCAACAAUCGUCCAAGUUCAGAUCCCGCAAAGUACAAGAUUUAGAAGGUGCACUUCUGCUGAAAAUGCUUCCCCUCACAACAAAUUCCUUGAUUAAGUUGCAUCUCAACCAUCCACAAUGGAUGAAACCAAAUGCAAAUUGGACCUGUUUCCUACUGGCGAUUCUAUAUGUCCAGAUGUUUGCUGCAUAGAUGUUUCAGCAACCAAAAGAUUUGCUCCAUCAAGGUAUCUUAGAGAUAUCCAUGGAAAUUUUCAUUCCAGGAUGAAUUUAUUUCUCUGGUACCAAGUAAUUGACCUAACUGCCUGAAGCAACUUCCACGAACAAACAAUCUUAUAAGAAAUGCAAGAUUAGCACAUCAACUGAUCAGUCUAACCAUUACUUACAAAUAUAAGUGGCACAGAAAACGUAAACGCAAAACCAUUACGGAGCACCAAACAAGUGGCUGGGGUUGCGGCAGUAGCAAUUUCACUUGGACAGAGAAAGUAAAUCAAAUUGCAAUUUGUUGUUCUGAAAGAAUUCUGAAAAUCAAGAUGUUUGAUAAAGUUCACUCACCAAUGUGAUCAAACACAAUUCCACUGGGAGCAUGCUUAAAUAGCUGAAUUCCACCACCACUAUUUGCUGCAUCCUCAUCCGGAAAAAGAUCUGUGCUACUCACUACUUCUAUGGUCUUCUCCAUAAUAUCGUGCAAAAUUUUCUGGGCCUGUCAUGUAAUGAAAUUUGAUUAGAGAAAUAAAAAAAUAUGGCAGCAACAAAAAAGAAAAGGUCAAUUUCAAUAUCACGAACAAUAAUGGUCAUAUGCAGCUCAAGCUACUGUGGUAAAGAUAUCAUUGCUCAUUUUUUCUCCAACAUCAAGAACACAUCUCAAAUUUCAAAAAAAGUAUGGAGUAAAUGAUUCUAGCCUGUAGGACAAAAUUAAAGGGGAGAUCUUGCCUACUAGUUAUAGUGGGAGAAUGGGAGGAUACCACAGUUGCGACCAGUACCUGUGAAUGGUAAGUUGGGAGAAAAGAGAAAAAGAAGGGGAUUUAGGGGGAGAAGAACAAACAACUACCAGAGAAAAAAUCAAUUCUUAUUCAUCAAUCUGUCUGCCUAGAAUAACAUAGAAACACAAGUAUUCGCAAGCUAUAAACAGUACAAAAGCUCCUAUUUCCAAUUCCAAAGAGGAAAGCACACUAAUUAUUAAACUUUAAUAUAACAAUGACUCGAAUUAGUUAACAAAAAUAAUAAGGAACUAAAUUUAUUCAGUGACAUAUUUGCCAGAUACUAGCUGCGAACAAGUAGAAGGCCAAAAAAAUCCUUAAGACCCAAAAUUUUAGAAAGUACUAAAUCUCAGAAUAUAUAAUUAUGAUAAACAAAGACACUCAAUUGACACUCAAUUGACACUCAAUUGAUGUAAUCUUGAACUUAAACAAAGACACUCAAUUGAUGUAUUCUUGCUCAGCUUAUCUUCACAUGAUGAUUAAUUUAAGGUUGAGGAAAUCAUAAAAAUCUUAAAUUUCAGAUUUACUUGAGCUCUUGGUUGACUGCAUAAAUAAACUUUUCAAUUGCUACUGAAAGGCAGAAAAGAAAGAAGAAGUGGAUUUAGUCAAAAUCCAUUUCCAUAUACAGUAUCUACUCAGAGAAAAGCCACGACAAGAGAGCAUUAUUCACUCAUUAAAGGUAAUACUCAUAAGUUCAACUUUCUUUGCCAUUCUAUAUAGAUGAACAACCUUUCGGUCCAAAAUUUAUAAUAUAAUUGAGCUAAACCUUAAUCUUGACAAAUAAGUUCCAUGCUUCUACUUUUAAAGUUAUAAAUUUUCCAUCCUAGGGCAUAGCCAAAUGUUUAAGCUACUCCUAAUCCCCUCAUUUGGUCAGCAAACAUGAAAACUAGAAAUGCAUACAAGAUGGAGAAAGAAAAAAUUGGAUUAACGAGGCAAUACCGGUGAAUAGAAGGGGAUUUUUAACAUGGCAUCCUUUCUGAAAAAUGAAAAAUGAUGGAUACAUCCCUUCUGGAAAAUGAUAAAUGAUGGAUAGGACAUAGAUUUGCGAAUGCAAUAUGACUGAAACCGGGCUUGCACAAUCACAUCUACCAAACAAAAAUUUUCAUCAAAACAUCAGGAAUGGAAGUGAUCUUUUAUAUCUAAAAUCCUAAUUCUGAAAUGAAGACGUCUAACAGUCAAUUGUCUCUAGUAUAGACGGUUGACAAUAUUAUGCUUUGAUUACUUAGUGUAACCAUUAGGCAUGUAUUAAGUAAUAAUGUUGGAAAAAUGACGGGAAAGAAGUAUCCGAAUAAAGAACUAAAAGAACCAAACUUUAAGCAUGCAAGUUACGUCAGGAGAUUUUUUUUAGAUGUAAGCAAGCAAAGGUAUCCUCUUUUUGCAUUUAGCCGUUUUAAAAGGACCCAAGCGUUCAAGGACAAUCCCUAAGUUUUGUGCUUUUCACAAAAUGCAUAAGCAGCAGCAAUCAAUGUCUCACAUAUGUUUGAAACAAUAGUUGGGGGGGGGGGGGGGGGGCGAGAAAAAAGGAAGAACCAUAUUUCCCAGAAUGGUAUAGUUUCACGUAGUUUCCAGUGGAAACCUCAAAAUCAAAGCUAAAAACUACGUAAAACCAACGUUUCAAUGCUCAAGUCCUCAACAGGCACAGAUAACUCAAGCUGAAGCUAAGAAACACCAGUAGCAGAAAGUUUCCUUGGCAUAGUGAAACAUAAGUUGGACAUUCAACUUCACUUUUCCCUGAAUUAGAAAUUAAAAAAGCAGUAAUACCCUACCCCAUUAAGCAAUCACACAAUAAACCAACCAAAAGUAUCUGAAUUUUGAUAAAUUUCAAAGGUAAAACAAAGGAAAUACUAUCUGGUAAAGAGAAGAACAACCAGAAAAAGUAUAAAAGUAUAAAAACUUGAAGAGAAUAGUAAGUACUACCUUGAGUUGAUAAUGUUUGAGGUUGUGGGAUUUAGGGUUGUCAACUUCUUGAUGAUGAGGAGUAGAGGAACUGAGUGGAGCAGGAGCAGGAGCAGGAGCAGGGGCAGGAGCAGUGGCGGCAGCAACAGAAACCGAAUGAAUGGCGGCCUUCCACUCGGCAUCUCCAUCUUCCUCUCCGCUACUACUACUGCUGCUCAUCCCUGCUGUUGUGUGGCUAUAGCCGUACUUCUUCUUCUUCUUCUGCCCCAAUAAAAAGUUCCCCUUGCUGGGCCAAAUGCGGAUGGGUCAUGGGAAAAAGUUUAGAGGGGCACUUGUAAUUAUAUUAACUUCGAGGGAAAGGUUUUCUUUUUUCGCUUUUAUUUUUUUAAGGGGACCAAAGCGCGGCGGGAAAGAGCAUCAAAAAUUGAGGCGUUCCUUUAUAGUAGUCCUAUACCCUACACACACACACACACACAAAAUCCAUCGGAGAAAAUGGCGUUGUCGUAUCCACAGCCAGGCUCCCUCACCAUCUGCGAAAUCAAUAGAGACCUCAGUUCUGUUCUGUAACAUCUCCGCCCCCCUUCCCCCCAACGCAAAAAAAAAAAAAAUCCCCUUUUCUUUUUCAAACUCCCUACUGACUCUCUCAUUUUAUUGAUGAUAUCCCCAUUUUGCUUUAAUUGUAUAAAUUGGAGAGUGAUGAUUUAUUGAUUCUAAAAUGUAUUAAUUACUGCAGUUACUGCGGACAACCUGUCCGAUGAUCGGGCCGAAGAAACCUAUGCCAAAAUUCUUGUUAGACCCUCCUCCGCCUCCAUUUUAUUUAUAUACAUAAAAGUUUUCUGCUUGCUUCAUUUCAAAACCAAAUAUGAGUUUUUUCUGAUGAGUAGAAUACUCCGUGUAUAAAUUGCAGGGGACUGUUUUCAGUCCUGUUCCAUUUCAAUACGAGACUCUAUUGACGGUGGAGGAGCAGGAAGUUGCUGCUGCUGCCCAAACUAAAGGUGGAUUGCUGUCGGCUGCACUGCAGGCCGUCUCCACUGCUUCUCUCCGACCCCUUUUCCUCCUUACUCCUGUGAGUUUUUUUAUAAGCUUUGGACUGCUACCAACUUCCGUUCUAAGAUAUCAGGAUUUGGCCCUUUUAUAUCUCCUUAUGUUUUGCUUCCAUUUUGAGGAACUUCCAAAAGGGUUUAUUUCUUCCUUGCUGUCUAUCAUUCCUGUUGACUUGUUCCGGAGAGCUCAACAAAAGCUCCAAAGAGCGGCCAGAUUUUAGAAUUAGCCUUCCGACACUAGGAUCACCCAUGUAAUAAUAUUACACCUGUGCUAUCUUUAUAGUGCAGUAGGAGAGGAUUGGGGUUGCAGCAUGUGUGUUGGGAGAGGGGAUAGGGGAGAAGGGGGCAAGGCAAGCAAAAGAGUGGCAUAUCAGCUACCUCUCCUACAAUCUGAAAAGCAGAUGAUUCGUAUCUUUUCCCAUUCUUUGAUUCAUUUUAGAACUGGCUUAACUAUACCCACUUCUCUGAUCCACUUGCACUUUACAUAAUGACAAUAAUUAGAACGCCUUAUUGGUUAGCUUUCAGUUCUAUUCGCUUCCAUGGUAACACGUCUAAUUCUUAACCACUUUUACUUGUCAUUCUUUGUUGGUGUUAUCAUGAAACUAAGAAGCAUUGGUUCAAGCUUUCAGUUUUAGGCUGCUCUGGAUUGGAAUAUAAAUUAUCUCAAGUUUCCACUUUUCUUUUUUGUUUUAAUAUCAGAAACUAAAAAAUGUUACGUUUUAGAUUUUCAUCAGAGUAGAAGACAAGUUGGAAAGAUUCCUAAUUUUUUCUCACAUUUUCUUUUAGGUAAAAUUGUUGCAAGAUGUUGAUCUCUAUGGCCUGAGCUGGCACCAACACAAAAAUAUUUUGGCUUUUGUUUCUGGCCCAAAUCAUGUGACAAUUCGCGAUUAUGAGGAUUCAGGUUUCUGGCCUAUUAUCUUACUUUAUUUUGUAUUCCAUUUAUCGUCUUUAGAUUUCUAUCCCCUAUCAGAUAGUUUUAGGUUCUGAGUUCAGUUGAAGCCUUGUAAUUUAUUUUUAUUUCUUAAACAUGUAUUUCCCUGUCUCUAUCAGAUGGUAAGGAUCCCUGUGUUCUGAUAAAUGAAUCCCAAAAACAAGUUAAAAGUCUUGAGUGGCGGCCUAAUGGUGGGAGGAUGCUUUCUGUGGCAUGCAAGUAAGCAUGUUGCUUUAUGCCAAUCUCCGCACUUUGAACAGCUCUUUAUUAUCAUGCUAAUGCUACUUAAGUUUCACUGAAAGCUUUAGCUUGGACAAAGUUUUGAUUCUUGGGUGAUCAGGGGUGGGAUCUGCAUUUGGGCUGCUUCAUAUCCUGGUAAUCCAGCUUUGGUUAGAGGUGGAGUUACUUCAAGCACCCUUUCGAGAGGCUCUGGGACUAGAUGGACUCUGGUGGAUUUCCUUCAAAGUCAUGAUGGUGAACAAAUAAGUGCCCUGUCAUGGAGUCCUGAUGGAAGAUAUCCGAAAGAUUUUCUAUUUCCUUUGUUAUGGCUUUUGUCAAUUGAGCAUCAGUUUUUCACUCUAUGAUAACAUAUUGCUGAAUUUUCAGCACCUGCAUGUCCUUUUUUAUUUCUUUACUUCGAUGGCUUCCUUUCGCUUUUUAACAUUUUCAUCAUGUCAUCAACAACUUGUUAAGUUCUUCUAGGUAGUAAAUACCAUUUCUCUGGUAUAUGGAAACAUCUAACUCUUCACAUUGCAUGAAAAUGGAGCUCUUUGUUAAUCACAUCUUUGAUAAGUCCUCAUCUCAGAAUCUUCCCAUGUGUACCAGAAAACUGGUACAGAUAAAGGCAUUUAGCAUCUGCUGAACCUUUUUGACUAUAUCAUAAAGGCUACACUAAGGAAAGUGGUGUUUUCUUUUCUUUGUUGUCUUUAUCAGGCUGUUUACAAUCGAAAUUUUAUCAGUGUAGACCUUCUUAUAGCAGCGUCACCUGUGUAACAGCAGAUGCUUGGUGAAUAAACUCUCAAUUGCUUACCAUCUCAACCUUGUCCUUUCAGUAGGAUGCAACCAAUUUAGAAUAUCUUCUUUGGUGUUUUCUGUUGAGGAUGUGAACCUUGUUUCAUGAAUCUUUUGACAAUUCCUUUGAGAAGAUGAACUGUGAAUUUCAUAUUUCAUCAUGAAUCUUGCUUUACCUCCCCACAAGUAACUGGAGUACUGCUCUCAAUCUUACUCACAAAUUAUAUCGCCUUGAUAACACUCUCUCUCUGGUUAUUUCUAAAAUACUCAGCCGUAUAAAUGCCUUGAGAACAAAUGCCACUAAUCCUACAUAAGAAGGAGAUUAAGGAAGUGACAUUACGAGAGGGGUUUACUAGACUUUUCAAGAAUUUAAUUAAUCUCUCAUUUGGCACCUGAUUCAUUGGAGUUGUUAAGAUGAACUAAAAGGCAACUAUAUUUGUCUAGAAGUAUUUGGCUAGUUGAGUUUUGAAUUUUCUUGACUUUCAUUUACAUAUUUGGCAUCAGCUUCAUUUGAGAAUUCAUCAUUCACCAUUUGGGAUGUUGCUCAAGGUAUAGUAAUUUUGCUUCUCCUUGCUUAAUGUCAUAAUUUUGUUGCUGAAGUCCACAAAUGGUAUUAGCUGGCAUUCUUUUCCAUUUUGGGUUGAAAAACAAAGUCAAUAUUGGAUUUAAUCUGCAUGGUGUUUUUGUCCUAUUACCAAAUUCUUCAAGUUUUACUCCACUAAAUACAUGUCAUGCCUCUUUGAUCCUAGGGUGUUGGUAAAAUUGAAAUUUGAAGUCUGAUAUCUAAAGACCGAAACUUAAGUACUGAAGUCAUAAUCUGCGGAAUUCAUAAAGUUUUAUUUGUUUGAUAACCAGCUGAAUUUCAGCACUGAAUUGAAUGUUGUAUUCCAUGUAUAUUAUAUAUUUGAUAACAAUAUUAUGUUUUAUCUUAAAUUAAAUUAUUGUUUUAAAAAUAAUCUUAUAGUACUAAUAAAUUGUAAUCCAUAUAAAGAGUGUGUGUGUGUUAUAGAUGGAGAGUAUGUUUUUAUGUGUAAAAAUGUGUCUGAGAAAGAAAAAUAUGUAUUUUGUGUUCCAUGCAAGAGAUUUAGUUUGAAAAUGUGUAUUAGAGAAGAAAAUGUUGUUUGUGUGUCUGUGAGUGAGAGAGAGAGAGAGAGGGGGGGGGGACAAAAAUAGAGAGAAUGUAUGUUUACAAGUGUGUGCGUGAUGGGGACAAAAAUAUUAUGUGUGUAUGUCUGGAAUUGUGUGGGUGUGUGAAACAAUAAUUUGGAGUAUUUGUACACGAGUAUAAUUCAGCAAGUUAAGUGAGAAAGCUUUCACUUAGGAUUUUGUAUACAAACUAGGUGGCUCCUACUGUAUUUAGAGGUGAGGGAUCAAACAAGCUUUAUACAAAAAGAACUUAAUUUAUUUAAAUUUAAGUACUUAAUGGGGUUACCAAUCACCCACUUAGCAAUUGCCAUGUUGCGAUCAAGAAAUCUGUUUAGGUUAUAUUAGGCAAAGCUCUUUAAGAUCGACAGGUGUGCACGUGGAAUUGGAGAAACUUUUCUUUUGCAUUUGUGCAUAUUUAUCUACCGGAGACAUGCAGAAAUAAGAUGUAGAAAACUUGUCUAAUCAGAGUAUAAGAAAUGUUCCUAAUUGUUUCAAUUAUAGAACAUUCAAAUAAAGGGAUCUCGGGGGAUAUGGUGGUGCAUAAUUUCUCCUUUUCUUUGUACUGGAUGGCUUUGAAGAAUGAAGUAUGACUAUUUUCCAUUUAAGAAAAUAGUGAAGGAACUUUUUGGUGCUUGUCAGAGUAAUCCUUAUAGGAAAUGGUAUGGUCAAAAUGGUUUACCAAAACAAAGAUCAUAAGCGGUUUAGUUUAAAAUAAGCAUACAAAAGUAUUUGAAGUUACCCUCGACGCUAUCAUGACUAAAAUAGAAGGUACAUUGGAUGGUUUACCCUGUGGUGCUGAGGCAGGGAUGAAGCUCCUGUUUAAUCUCCCCCAAUUUUCCCAGAUGUCUAUCAUCUGGGCUUUUACUACUCAAACAGAUUCUUUUUCUAUUAAACAUUGAUGUGGUGAUUUUUCAAGGUGAUAUGUCAGGUUAAUAUACUUGCUGUUUCAUGGUUGGGUUUGAUACUCAUUGUGAAUGGCUUACCUAUUUGGUUCUUGUGUUUUUUACUCAUGUUCUUGUGUCCCACUGUGUGUCUGUUGGACACUAUGGAGAAAGAUGAAUAAUGGAGCUUUCAAUGGAGACCAUAUCUGCAGAACAGUUUAAGUUUCAAUUACCAGACACCUGUAGUUUUGGAUAAAUGUCCGCUACUCAGCUGACAGUUUUUUUUCCCUUUGAUAGGGCUCAUUAUUGUAUGAUAAGAAACUACUUGUUUUCUUUGGAUUGUGCUCUCCUGGUGCCUCAUAAUGAAGCUAUUGCUUUCUCAAAAAGAAAAAAGAAAUAAAGAAAAAAAUCCUGCUACUCUGUUUUAUGUUAUGUCUCUUAGUUGAUUUUGUAUAAUAUUUUUGUUUAGUGUUAAAAAUAUAUAAUUUGAAAGAUAAAUUGCCCGACAUGUUAGGUAAAGUGUGGAACAUAUGGAGGCAGUACUAGCUACUGUGUUGUACUUGUAACUUAAUACCUGGCAAUUAAUGAAGCUCAAGUACUAUGAUUAAACAAUUAAAGAUGUAAUUCUGCUGUGCAAAAAAGAAUUCAACAUGAAACAGAAAGUAUGGGAUGACUAUGUAUUAUCCCCUGGCAAAAUUUAGACAUUGCAGAAUGGAAUAGUUGUUGUGUCUCCAGAAACUCUGUAAAAUGUAGGAAACCUGAAUUUGUUUGUCAAUGAAUGGCUACCAAGUGCUAUUGGUUGUAGAGUAACCAAAAAUGUUGUUGAUCGCUUUUGGAAGGUAAGAGCAACUGUUGCCUUAGUUGGGAUGGUUUUACAAGUAAUGCACGCAUUACCCCAAAUAAGCAUGCUGUCAAGGUUCCAGUGUAGAGUUGGAUGGACGUCCUAAUAAAGGCAGUCCACAACACAAUCUGGACAGCUGUGUUCAAAUUGGGGAAGUGUUAUUGCUUUCCAGCUGAAUGUUUGAAUGCCUGCCUUUCACAUGGUUGCGUGUUGUAUUUGCUGAUGGAGUUUUGUCUGUUUAUCUGGCUUGUAGGGAUGGGCAGACCUAUUCGACGUGGCUUGGGGGGCAUAUCACUGAUUAAGUGGUCUCCUUCUGGAGAUUACUUUAUCGCUGCAAAAUUGUACUGUCACUUACCACUCUUACAAAAUAUUUUCUCAUGUCAUAAUCUUUAUAUACACAUCCUAGCCCUUGAAACAAAAAGCAGAUGAAAUAAAAAGUUGAAAUCUUGCUGGAGAUAUGUUCUCACCCUGAUAGAGCAAUUGCCCCUUCUUGCAGUGAUGGAACAUUUCAUAUCUGGGAGACUAACACUUGGACAUCAGAACCAUGGUCCUCAACGAAUGGUUUUGUAACGGUUAGACAAUCAUGCUUCUAAGUACUCAUGUCAACUUUGCCUUCUGCUACAUCCUACUUCAGUGAACUCCUUUUUUUUUUUCUUUUUUUUUUUGGGGUUGGGGGGUGGAUUAAGAAUAUUUACUACCAUGGUUUACUAUUUUGACAUCUUCACUGUUUGCCAAGCUCUCUUUCUUCCACUCCUUUUUGCCCAUCUAAUUCUUUUGUUACUAUUAGAUUAUUUCCUUGUUGCAUUACCAUCAGAAGAAAUAAAAGCAGUUCCACUUUCUCACUUUCUUAUCAUAUGUUACUUUGACUGUAUCUUAAUCAAAAUGUCAUUAUGAUCUCCAAGAUUUGCACUCAUGUAUUUUCUUAAAGCUUAUUAUACUUUUUGCCUUUUGAAUUUCAAUUUUUAAGUCUUGCCGUCUCUAAUGAUUCUAGUUCUGAACUUACUGGGGUUAAAGAGUGGAUAUAAAUAUGUGGUCUCCAGAGGCGCAGAUAAAAUGUUUCAAUUGAUGUACGCCAUUUCUUGGAAAUUGCUUAUUUUGUGGUGCCAGAUCCAUGAUGGAUUGGGGUUAUUGCUGUUACUUUUUGUCAACUGAUAUAUGUGAUGAUAUAUGGAGUUUGUGUUGAUGAUCUUCUUAUAUUGUAUUCAUCAUCAUUCACUGGAUUCUUUGUUUUCAUUUUGAGGCCAUCAUUUGGACGUGUAAUCUUCAAAUUAUUCUGCUUAGUAGCUAUAUUUUGAUUGACAGGGAGCAACAUGGGAUCCUGAUGGACGAAUGAUACUCAUCGCUUUCUCUGAGUCUACAACAUUAGGGUCUCUUCACUUUGCAUCAAAGCCUCCAUCCCUUGGUGUGUGAUAUUCACCUAGUUCCUGGGUCUACAUAGUUGUAAUUGUUAGUUUGCUUUCUAAUUUCAUAGGUGUUUUGAUGUUGUUUUGUAUACAAUAAAGUAGGGAAAAAGCAUUUGUCUCAAGGUUUCAUUUUCUGCUCUUUAUUUAAUGGUUGGAAGCAUAAUAGUUAUUGCUCAAGAAAAGGAGGACACAGCAGUUGGAAGAUGUCAAUGACUUAAAUUCAUGGUGAUCUCACAAGAUGCAUUAUGAUGCUGAUUUUUUUAAGCUUUAACUGACAAGUCAAGAUGAGUGCAUUACCCCUUUUAGGGGCUGGGUGGUCAUAUUUUGCUUAUUUCCUUAGCUUCUUAACAGGCUUGUAACAUCUCCUUUGGCUUCAUAAGAUACCUCUUUGCUGCAGUGUUACUCACCUCAUAGUCAUCUUGUUCUAUGGUACUUUAUGCAUGAGGGAUUUUUUGUCUCUGUUUUGCUGCUGAAAAGUUGUUUUUUUGUGAACUUCCAUAGGCAGUGUCUGAACUUAUGGGCACCCUAAUAGCUGUUUGCAGACUUUGACUUUCAACAGUAUUGUUUUCCAGAUGCACACCUUGUACCUGUAGAGUUGCCAGAGAUUCAGUCCUUGACCAGAAGGUUCAGAUGAUAAUGCCUUGCUUCAUGAAACCUUAUAAUUGUUGAAUAAUGCUUAUAUAUUUCUGAUCUUGUUAAUGGAUGUUGAUUUCCUUUUAUUUGAGAUGAUUUAUGCUUGUAAUUCCUUUCAUCACUGGGAUAUGGAUUGGCUCUCUUUGACCAGUCUUUGUAUAUUUCUCUUUGCUAAUCUAUUCCAAGUUAUAUCUGGUUAAUACUUGGAUGGUUCUCUGUAACUAUGGGUAAUUUUGACUAGAGAGUAUGGUUUGAGGAGUCUGGAGUAUUUUUUAAGGAAUUCCAUCGAAAAGUAGAUUGUGAAAUUGUGAACUGGUGAAAUGGUUAAUGGAUUUGAUUUCAAUGUAAUAUACCCAUCAUGAUCUUACUUGGGAAGGAAGGAACACACUCCAAUAAAGUUUACUGUUACAAGAAUAAGGCAUAGGGACACUUUUAUUUGAGUAGCUGACUGAUCCAAAAAAGGAAGUCUCUGUAUUAAUAUCUUUAAUAUGCUGAAAGAUUCUUAAGAUGCAUGUUGAGGUGGAAUUCAGUUUUAUUUCCUAGGUUACAGUAGUGGUGCUAUUUCCCCUGCCCGGUAACUGGGACUACCUAUAUUUGUCUACAUGUUGAAGGAGGGAUAGUUGAUCAAACUCAUUGCAGUUUGGCAUGUUGAGGUGACUGGUUAAUCAGUUAAUGAAAGACAUUCCUUGAAUCCUGUGAACCUGGUGGAACUUUCUUCUGUGUUUCUCCGUUUUGCUUAGAUAUUCUGGAUCAUAUGUCAGCCUUAUGCCACCAGGAUGAGUCAAGGUCAGUGGUUUGAUGCUAUUGCAGUAACUUCAUUUGGUCAUAGGCUGCCCUGUAGUGCCGUGGAGGAUGCUUCCCUCAAGGUCAGCUGAUAUGGCUUGUGAUUUGAUCCUUUAGAUGAUAGUGCUGGGUGAGCUCCUCAAAUCAUGUGAGACCACCCUAUAUGUGGCACUGUGAAAUUUAGCAGGAGGCUUGUCCAAUUUUGAAGGCUAUAUCUUGGGAGUAUUAGUUGGAACUGAAUGCAAUUUAGCUCAUCUGGCAUCUUUAGGCAUGUCGGCCUCCACGCCCAAGUGGCCUGAGAUGCAAGUAUGACAUAGGCAGGCAUUAUUUAGGUUAUGUAGGUUCAACUCAAGGUCUGCUACUUGCUAAUCAUAUGAACAGAGAUCAUGGAUCCACUCUUAAUCUCUUUAGAGCCCUGCUGCUGCCAUCAAGACCUCUUAACUGCUUUGUCUUCUCCCUCAAUUGCCUCUCACCAUCCUCUCUCUCUCUCUCUCUCCUAUAGCACAUUGAUUAUUGAACUCCUAAGAAAUGUAAUGAUACUUGUUUUUCUUUUUGUGUAAAAUUUCAUGCAUGGGGGCAUUUGUUUUUAGAAUCAGUCCUUAAUUUCCUUACCUUCUGUGCAGUAAAGGAAUUGAGAAGAUAGCAUGGGAUGGUUCAGGAGAACGAUUGGCUUUGUCAUACAAAGAUGGGGAUGAUCUGUACAAAGGUCUUGUGGCAAUAUAUGAUGUUAGGAGAACCCCCCUGAUUUCAGCAUCACUAAUGUAGGUCGAAUAUUGUGUUCUCUUAUCUUAGCUUCUUAGACCUUUUCAGUGUUUUCUUAUGCUAUUUUGUUUGUGGAUACCAAUCAUUUCUGAUUCUUGUUCAUGUGUUUGGUUCCAUAAAUCCAGUGGAUUUAUUAGAGGCCCUGGCGUUAAUCCCAAGCCAAUUGCACUGUCAUUUCAUGACAAGUUCAAACAAGGGCCCUUGCUAUCUGUGGUAAGUCCUAUGGCACUGUUCAUUUGCUACUGAACUGUGCCCGUCCUCUGGCCUUUUUUAUUAGCAUUUUGAGAUGAUUGCAAAGUUCAUGGAUUCAGGCAGCAAAAUGUACAAGAACUCUGAAUGCGCAUCAUAUAACAUGGACAUCCCUUGUGGAUUGAAUUCUCUUAAAGCACAACUCUUUACGCUUUAAAGACUAACUUAAGUUCUUGUCUCAGACAUGGAGCAGUGGAAUGUGCUGCACCUACCCACUCAUAUUCCGCACGCACGUUUUACCUUAAACCAAGGUAUUUUUUUUUUGUUUUUUUUUUGUUUUUACCUGGAAAAAUCUGCUGUAUCUGUACCAUAUGAUUCCAUUUUCUUGAAAUAGUAGUACCUUAAAUCUGUACUUGUCAACAAUAGGUCUGGGCGACUCUGGUCGCCACGGUCGAAGUACCUAUCAUUGUGUCAUUAGACAGCUGCAGUUGUCAUAAAGUUGCUGGUGAAGCAUUGAGUUCAUCUUCGUAGUCUCUCUUGGAGGUCGAAAAAUGAAGUAGGCCGUUUAUGAUGUUGCUUUCAGCCAAGGAAAACACUACUGUCAUCAAUUUUUAUCACUAGUAGGAACAAAGUGAAUAGAGAUGUUGAAAGUGAUGGAAGCUAAAGUGGGCGGGGAGGUUAUGUGCUGUCAACCUCAUCUCUCUUUUGAAACCUUAUUUGUGCAUCUUCAAGUUAAUUAUGCUUCAAGUGAUUGUCAAUGUUCUCGAGUCUGUAGAUUUUUCUGUUCAUUUUUUAGUCAUUUUAUUGUCAUUAGCUAUGAACAUGAAACUGUAGUAUUUAUACAUUUCGAAAAUGCACCUGGAAAAGUGGAAGAGCGCACCUGUCAUUCUGGCAGUGGUUUUUGGAAGAGCUGAUAGCUAUUGCAAUUUUAUUAAGUUCAUUUUUCGCUACAAAACCAAUGCAGUUUUUGGUGGAAACUGGAAGGGUAUCAUUUCUUCUGGGAAGAGAGAUGGGGCUGGCCAGUGGCCAGGUAUCAAGGAGAGAAUUUUGGACAAAGUUUGGUCAGUUAAGAAUGUAAAGAAGAAUGGGAAAUCAAUCGACUUCCCUAUAAUUGAAAUCCAAAUUAAAGCAUGAACAUCUAUUCUACUUCUUGGCUGGCUGAAUCUGUAAAGGCUUUGCAACAAGGUAUCGAAAUUAAGGCUUCUUCUGCUUAUCAUCAGAGCGAUACUGUCAGAGCUGAGAUAGAUUAGGCUCAAUUCUGGCAUGAAUCUGGAGCUGGAAUAUGAAGUUCAGAUGUUCAUUUUCGGAAAGUCCAUCUAUAUAUACACCUGGUUAAAAGCAGGGAUGAAUUAUUAAACCUCGUGGGGUACAUGUUUUGCAGUAAUACAAUACAACGGACUAGUUACUCGAAGGAAAGAAUCCUAUAGGCAAACUCUCUGCAUGGGGUUGUUUUAGUUUGUUUUCAAGGCAAAUGUCUUUUAUGAUAAAAUCAAGAAGAAUGCUUUAGACUGAAAUCAUCUUAUUAAUGCCUGAGCUGAGAGGAUUAUCUGUCCCUCCUGCUAUUGAUUGGCUACCAUGCAAAAGAAUGCAAUGAGAUUAGGAUUUAGGCCAAGGAAAGGGGGAGAGGACCGUUCCUGCCAGUUAAUGGCCAAGAUUUGACCAACAAAAUUUGUAAGGUCCAGAUUUUAACAUGUGUGGGGCCAACAAAAUAUUGUACUAGUAUUACUCGCUGUUGUUCUAGUGUUACAUCGUGUACAAAUGAUGUUACACCGUGUGCAAAAUGCACACAAGCUUUCGGAACGAUUGCACUGACAACCGUUCCAGCCCCGGGUCCAAGGCAAGGAGCAGUUGUUAGUUCAAAUACUCACCAUUGUAAUUAUUUUUUCUCUUUCAGACACGUUAAUGAUACAUUUACCGUUUUGGUUAGCUAUUUAGGAAAAAGGGACACUUCUUUUCCCUUUUAUUUUUAACCCAUCCCUCUUCCUAAAAUUGUAAUCGAGUCGAGCUCGAGUAUCGUGGUAUUCAAGCUUGACUCAACACUAGGAAGACAUUACUCGAACUCGAACUCGACCUCGAGCGAGUAGCAGAAAAAGAGCUUGAGCUCGAAUAAUUGUUCGAAUACUUGAAAUCGACUCGAUUAUGCUCGAUUUUUCUUAUUUACUUUUACACAAUUUACAAAGAUGAUUAAAUUUCAAUAGCAAUGUUUAAAGUAACAUUUGCAAAGUUUGAAAAAAUAUAUAUACUAAAUUACAAUUCAUGCGGGGUUCCUAGUGACACGGGCUGCACCUAAGUUGCGUGCGGUCGUGCCUUUCCGCACGGGCAUCCACGCGUGCCCGUGCCUAGUCGCACGCGAUCGUGCCUAGUCGCGCGCACGACAGUGCCUGUGCAUGAACCCGCGCGUGCGACUGUGCCCAUCCGCACGACCGCCCGUGCACGACCGUGCUUAGUCGCGCGCAACUGUGCCUAGUUGGCUAGGGUUAUUCCACAAGAUGCUAGAAUUGUGGAGAAGAUUCUAGAACCAUGUGUAAUACUCAUGAACCUUAUGGAUAAGCAUGCACCUUGAGAAUAAGGAUGAACCUUGAGAAUAAACAUGACCUUGUGGAUAAGGGUUGACCUUGUGGAUAAGUUUUGACCAUGUAGAUAAACAUUGACCUUGUAGAUAAGUUUUAGACUUGUAUAGAGAAUUUUAGGACCAUGAAGUAUUUUGGCUUGCCUAUAAAUAGGCCAAGCCCUUUGUAUUGGAAAUGGUUGGCAACCUUGUGUAAAAAAGAUUUGUGUGUCAUAUAAACUUUCCUUUGCCACAAACACAUAUCUUUGUCUAUCACUUUUGCGCUUCCGCAUAAUAACCGCGCAUUGAGUGUUAAGGCUGAACUAGCCAAGCGUUCCUAGCUUGAGACUUAAACGUACGCUAGUGCUGCACGGGAUGUUGGCUUGUAGGAAAAACAAGCAGCCUGUGACACUAGGAACCGAAGGGACUCAUGUGCAAAUCUCACUAAUUGGCCGUAAGCCCUUGUUUUUUGGGUUUUUGGGAAUUUUAGGACCCAGACCAGACACAAAGACUGAAUUGGGGCUCUUAUCUUAUCCAUAACCAUACGAGAGAAUGAUUGAAAGAAUUGGAGGAGGGAGCAGCAGAGAUAGUAGCAGCAAGUAGAAUUGGGCAUUUGAGCAAUGGCUCUCCUCCUCCAAAUUCCCGCUUCCAGUACGAGGACUACCGUUUCAACUCUGCUUUCCUCUCUUUCCUCAUCUUCAUCGCCUUCACUAACUUUUGCCCUCACUUCUUUUCCGCGUAAGAGUAUAAUAAUUAAUACCCCUCUUCUUUUUAUCGCCAUUUCUCCGUCUGUGCAUUUUUACACUUUUUUUUUUGGUUUCUUUUUCCUGCAAAAUAUGUUCUUGAUUGUUUAGAACUUCUGGGUUCUUUAUUCCCUUCGUUGCUAGUGAUUGUUCUGUUGCAAAGUCAUUUGCUCUUUCCCUCCAGCUCAGCAUCUUCAAUUGGCUCUUUUUUUUUUCCUUUAAAAAUUUUAUCUUUGUCCUGCAUUAAUGCUGCUCAGUUGCCGAAACAUUUGAGCCUUCUUCAUUUUUUUUAUUGGAGAUUCUGAUCUUUUAGUCGUACCAAGUAUCUAAUUUCGUGUUCGUAUGUUUCCAAGCACCCUUUUUCCCUGAAUGUUUUGUCUUUCUGGUAUUCCAUCGACUAUGUUGUCUGCGUUUUCUUCCAGUUGAUUUAUUUGUUGGAUGUUGGAUUUUUUUUUCCCUUGAUCUGUUUCUCCAUUUUGCGUGGAUUUUAAAGUGGAGGUAGCUUUGCUUGAAAUUUUUUCUGCCAAGGACAUGUUAUGGUUUUUCAGUUCAUAUAAUGUGGAUCAGAUGCAUUUUCAGAUGUUGUUAUGCCCAGACGCUUGAGAAAUGUAGUUAAUUAUUCACAGCUUGUGUCAUGUAGCCCUCGUAUGAAUCUAAGAUCAGUUCAAAAGGAUAAUUCAUUCCCAUUUUCAUUUAACAUUUCAUAGCUGUACUGGGUAAGAUAAUCUGAUUUUUCAUUUUCCUUAAUCACUUGCCUUUUUGGUCUUUUUGCUAGUUUCCAGGCUGUGCAACAACCCUUUGGCUGCAUAUCCCAAACCGUAUGUUGCAUGCAGCAUUCAGCCGCCUUUCCUUCAGAAGGAGAGGAGGGCACCGCUGGCUAAGGCAUCUGCUGAAGGCGCGAACUCGGAUGGGCCUGAGCUUCCGUCAGAGAGCGAGGAGGAAGAUGUGCCCAUUCAGAAUCUUCCUCUGGAGUCCAAGCUUCAGCUGAAGCUUGAGCAGAAGAUGAGGAUGAAGUUGGCAAAGAAAAUCAGGCUACGAAGAAAGAAGCUGGUUAGGAAGCGUCGCUUGAGGAAGAAGGGGCGAUGGCCACCAUCAAAGUUGAAGAAGAACAAGAAUGUUUAGUGUUUGUCGGAAGACAUCUUCCAGGUUGAGUGCUGGCACAUUUUCUUGCUUAUGCUUGUUGGCAUUCAUCUUCCAUCACUUCCAUCAGUUAAUUUUUGUGUAAUGUAGUUAGAAACUCAGCUGCUAAGUACAAAUGCAUAACUUCCAAAUGGUUUAUCAAAUCAAGAGAUCUAUUGUAUUGACCGGGUUGCUUUUGCUCUUUGUGCUGGACUAUUCUAGGCAUUACCAGAUGAUCGGCAGAUUUUUUUUUUUUUUUUCACUUUUGUCACAUCAAGAUUCAUCAAAAUUAGUGAAAUCACCAUUAUACUCAGUUUGGCCCUUUUUCGAUCAGUUAUAAUUGCAUUUUCUGGUUACCUUUUGUUCUUGGGGCAGUUGACUUGUUUGUGAAUUCUUAUACGGUUUGUGCUGGAGGCUAUAUGAUCAUCAAAGCUGAGAAAAUUCCUUCUACUUCUUAUAAACCAGGUACUUAUAUCCGAAUAAAAUGUGAAUGCUCUAUAGCAUGCUGGGAACAGCUGAAACAGUGUUGUUUAUUCUCUUAUAAAAAAUAACAAAAAUACAACUUAAACUGAUUUUACUAAUUAAGAUUGAAGGUUGGGAAUUCUCCUGUGGUGGUUAAAGAAACCAUCAAUUUUGUUCCAAAUGUUUGAAUGAAAGCAUACAAUUACAGGAUUGCUGGAUUUUGAGGAUGAUACAAACUUUUUGGAUAUUAUGUUGGAGAAAGUUUAUGGUGGGGGAAUAGGGUAUGAUUUUUUUUAAUGGGUUUUGGCAUCAAAUUUUGGAAGAAAAAGAAGUGUUGAUGUGCUUAAAUAGGAGUUCUACAAAUUUUGUCGAACAAAAAGCACCACUCUAGAAAUCUACAUUCAUUGUUCAUGAAAUUUUUAUGAUUAUGUUGAGUUCUAUUUUUCUGAGGACAAAAUGAUUUACAUGAUGCGCUUUUGUUAACAAUAAGGGGAGCUGAUAAAUAUAUUAAUGUUUGGUUUCUUGUGGCUAUGUUUAGCUUUGAGGGUUGAAAUCCUAAAUAAAUAUCUGUCAAUAUCUGCUUCCUAUAUUUGAUUAGUCUUCUUUUGUCAAGAAAAUUGUAUAGCCUUCACUCUUGGACCUGCCUAAACAAUGCAAAGCCAGCUUUAUUGGUGUUGUUAUGAUUGAGGCAAGCAAUCCUGGUUCAUUGCUAUGUUGGUGUUGUUUUCAGCGCAUCCAGGAGGCCAUUUUGUUUUGCUCCCUGCUGUGGCGUUGUUUGAUCUGCUAAGAAAAGACUUUUUAGUUUCAGCUGCAGACACCAAAAUGGACGUCAAGAGCGAUUUGCAGCUCAAAAGUUCCAUCAUGCUGGUGCUGUGCUGCUCACCAAUUCCACAAUGAUGGGAAUUGACAUCCGUCUAAUCUAACAGAUGGAGGAGAGUUGCUCAACCGUACACAAAAGGACACCUUGGAGGGGGCUUGAUUUCAAAGAAACGAGACCGUUUCUUUACCCCUUCCUUGCCUGUGUCAUUUCUUUACUGUUCUCAUAAUCGGCAGAAAGAUGCAUUAUUCAAAUCACUUCCCUUGCAAUGGAAUGCCUUUUUUUAAGCACAAACAGAAAGAAAAUUCGAUACUUCUUCAACAAUGAAAGAGUGUAAACGAAAUACAGUGCAGUAUAGGAUGAAGAAACACGUCCAGUCCAGUGCUGAGUGAUAAAUAACAACGAUUGGUCUAAAGAAGCCAAGAAGGAUAUAAAACCUCACACAAUGACACAAUCAACCAGUUAAUCAUACUACUAAUAGCCUGCGUUAAAAUUUUUCGACUUUGCAUACCCCUAAAAGUGACAAUAAGGAGUGUUGAGAUAUGUCAACUUUUCCUACAGAUUUUGCUAGAUUAUGUUUGAUAUCAAAAUAAUUUAGUUAUUAGAAAAAUAAGGAUAUUUGUUAACCAAAAAUCAUAUUGGUUUGUUAACAAAUAUAUUAGCUAAGAUUUGCUAAUAGAAAAAGAUGAUAUUUUGUUGAGAUUUUUAAGAUAAUUGUUAGUUGAAUAUUUUGCUAGUUUAUUUCAUGUAAUCACUAUAAAUAAUGAGUUGAUGAAUGUAGAACACAAACUCAUUUUUCAUCUUUAAUGCAAGUCUCUUAUAAGCUUUUUUUGCAGCACUAAAGUGUUGUUUUUUAGUUUAUGCCCCCAAAAAAUCAACACUUAGGAAGCGGUGGACAUCCCAUGGAGCACACAAACACGCCUACAAGGGAAGGGACUAUAAUGCAUAAGAGUUUUGUACGAAAACUCGCAGUUUCACAAGACAAUACACUGAGGAUAAAGAGUCUUUCUCCAUUCUUGACAAACUUACAUGAUGCACCGCUAUUGACUGCACCAUGCCAGUACAACUUUAUGCGGCAGCCAACAAAUGUCUCUCACUCGAGCAUUCCAUUCUCUCGUUCUUCGUCUUGCACCUUUACUUUUCGCUUUCCUCCUUCACCGGUUUCUUUCAACGUCAGACCCGUACUAAUGCUUCUUCACAUUUUUUCAGCGUUAAGACAAUGGCGCCUCUGUCCCAUCAUUCCCACUCUUCCGUUCAUUCCACUCUUCUCCUAGUCAACUUACAUCCAGAACGGAAGUUUUAACCGCUUUGAUUUGUUUCUUUAUCUUUCCAUGUGUUUUACCACUUUUGGCCAACUCUCAUCAGGUCAAUGUCGAGUAUGUCAAGUUUGCCUGAUAUGUUCCAAGGCUUAAUGUACCCUGAACCACCAGACAAAGCCUUGACGGGUUGUUAUUAACUAAACCAACUUACCAGUCUGCUUUAUAUUCUACAGAGAAUUGCUGUCAGGGGAGGGAAGCAGGACCUAACAACCUUUCACUUCCCACGGCCUAAAUUGUCCAUGUAGAAUGCCAAAAAAAAAACAAAAGAACCUGCACGACGAGAACAAGAAGUUGGACAGACUUCUUUUUCCUUCUGUACAUUUGCCAGCAGCCAAUUUGCAUUACGACAAUACUUAGAUCUAGCAUCCCGAUUUCCUUGGUGCUGCUUGUCUCAGAAUGAUUGGUUCCUACACAUUGUACACCUUUUUCCCUUUCCAAGUUUCCUUUUUGUCAGACCAACAUUUCACCUUGAAGAAUGUUGAAUUUGCAGAGAGGGCAGGUUGCAUUAAUUCGCAGCCAUCUGCGGAUGCAUCGGUAAUGAAAAUGGUGGUUGCAGGGGAGAGUGCACACCUCCACUCCAUCCUCAUAGCCAUGAAGGCAUAUGCAGCAUUCCUGCAAUGGGUAAGUAUUCAAACCAAAGCUCAGAGUUACGGUCAUGAUUAAAACAUAAGGAAUUAGUAGUAAGAAACAUCAACAAUUAUGUUGUUCAGAAAAACAGCGGGUAUGAGAAGGCUGAAGACUGGAAUAUAUCGGAGUACUCAAACCCAGGUGACUUUCAACCUAAAAUUGGGGGAAAAAAGCCAUAAGAAAUUGAUUAAAGAGUUAAAUACACAAUUAUCCAAAGUUAAUUGCUAAGUUAUCAAUUUACGGCUGGCACAUGUUAGCAAAUAUUAACUAAAUUGACAAAUAAAAUGGUUACAUAACACAGACGAAUCUCAACCAAAUUCAUCUGCCAAUUCAACUGUCAAAAAGAGGCACACUAUUCCAACAUACAAGGAAUUAGAAUACCAUGCCAAAAGCCAUCUUCAAUCUGCAAAUCAUGAUCAAAUAUUUCCAAAGUCUUACCAUAAAGUCUAUAAUACAUAUGUUAGUAGAUGAUUUUCCAGUAUAGUGAAAUGGCACUUAAGAAGGGUGUUAAGCAUGAUUCCUGAACUACUAAAAGCUGAAUACUGAAGAGUUGACUGACAAUCACACCCCAAGAAAGAAUGCCCACAAAUCCAAAGCUUAGACCACUCAGUCAGUCAAAUGUUAAAUGAUGCACACAUCUAUAACCAACUUGCAGAAGUCAAAAGCAUAAGGAGGACUAUAUUACUUAAUAGCAUAUAGUAUAUCAAACAAAGAGGUCAGUACCCAAAUGCAAAAUAACAUAACAAGCAAUUUAGCCUGUCCAACUUUUGCUUUUGCCAGUUGCUAUAUUCUCGGAAAGUAAUUUUGUUAACUAGACACCAAAAAGAUGCAACUGUAAAAGCUUUAUCUCUGCAUAUGUAAAGACUAAUCCAAGAAAUUUAAAAGGCGACUUUCAUGGUCCAAGUAUACAAAACUAAGUUCUUCAAGUGCUGCACCGUCUUCUCCAAAACCCCAAACUUAGGAAACUCUGCAAUUUUCUGCUGUAUAAACUAGAAUCCAUAAAUAAUUUUUGCCAAAAAAUGUGCAGCCAGGUCAUCAACCAACUUGAGUGUUUGGAAUAUAAGCUUCGGUGGGGAAUCCUAUGAAAUUCCUACCAAUAGAGCAGAGGAGACAUAUCAAACUUGAUUUUGUACCAGUUCUGUUAAUUGCAACCAUACAGCUUAUGCCAUGAGGAAGCAGAUAUGUUAAGAUUGCGAAAGCUUCAAACUGUUAGUGGCUCAUUGUAUUCAUGCUCGGUUUUAAGCAGCAGACCAACUCUUGAGGUGGAUAGAAAAAGGAGUGAGCUUAGCUUAAGGAGUUUCCUAUCUGAACCUUUGAAAAGUGCUCUUCCAGUGGAUAUCUCCCUUCAAAAACAACAAACUUGGAGCUGUACACGCUAGACAAUGGAUUACAUAGCAUUCUAGAUGCAAUAUCAGGAAUAAUCACUUCUUUGACUCAACUGAUGAGUUAUGAGGAAUCUGACUUUAAUAAUUUGCUUCUGAAAUAUAGACAGGGAAAAGGAUAGGUUUAAGCAAGGGAGAAAGCCAUUCUUCAGUGUACUGUUGUAUUAGAGGUCAAACAUUUCACAGUGAAAAAAAAACAAAGAAAAUUUGAAAAGCAAAAUAUACAAAAAAUCUACUCUCACUCUCUCAGUCUCCUUGAUUUCUGACGGCGUAUAACAAAAAGAACAAAAACAAUAUUAAUUGUCUUCCGAUAUACCCUUUAUAUGUGGAAAACAAGAAAUUUGAAUGUUCUUAAGAGCCUCUUUUAACUUGCUCAUUGUUUUCCAAGUUCGCAAAGGAGUGAAAGGAGCGAAAGAGAAGUUAACAGAUAAAUGGGAAAGAAACAAGUCCAUUUCAGUAAAUAGAUAGAGGAUGUUGUAGAUGCUUACAGAAUCCUCCAAACUGAGGGCAAGCUCAGGGAUGUUGCCGCUGCCCAGGUGAGCUAGUAAAGCAGCUUCUUCUCGCUUUCUACAAGAAUUGAUAGUCCCUGCAGCAUUAGGAAGGCAAUAUCUAUACUUGGGAAGAGUCCUUAUAUCAUUUUCAGAAGCUCCUUCCCCAACUGUCAUAGCAUGUGCAACCCUUGCCAAUAUUGGGAAGCAACAUGCCAGCAAUACAAAAAAAAUGAACGCCAUUGCAAUGCAAAAUAUCAUGAAGAAUACAUCGAAAGCCAGAAAAACCACUGAUAACCUGCAGCAGUUAUAUAUGCUUCAGUUAGGGCCCCCUUUUACAAGUGCAGACUAACUGUCAUGUUUGUUUGCACAGAAAAAUAUUAUUCACAGAAAACCUAAAUAGAUUGUACUAAAAUUUUUGCAGAAUUUUCACUCCCUAGACAUAAAUGACAUCCUCGUUCCGUUUGUUUCCAAAAAUUUGGAAAUUUGAUUAUAUUUGAUCUCAUUUCUCUUUCUGGUUAUGCAUCAAAACUGAUUAUAAAUGGAGAAUGCAAGAACUUUUCAAAUUUCUCAGGCAUACAUUUACUGAAGAAAAACGAAAAACAAGACAAUAAAGAUGUUAAAAGAAUUUGAAGGAGCAAUUUAUGUAGGGAGGAUAGUCACUGGGGCCUCCAAUCCAGAAGGGUUACCAGAGCAACUACAAAGAUACUCUUAAUGAAGGCUACAUUUCUUGGUUCUUUCUUUGCCUGUUGGCUAAGAAAUUUAAUAUUUCAUAUAUCGGGCUACAUUUGAAGCCUCAAGAUGAAUUUGACUCCAUAAAUCAGAGGACAUAUAGCACCCACGGAACCAUCUUUGUCCAACAACUACCCUUCAACAUGUUGCAAGAAAUUGUCAAUUGAUCAUGGAGCUUCUUGCAAAGGAUAACAAAUUUUAGAGCCUUUUCAGGGGAGGGGUGGUUUGAGGGAUCAUAAUUGGAAUACAAUGCAUAUGAUGGAGCUCCAAGUUCUCUAAUAAGCUAAACUUCCAUAUCCUACCACUUCACCAAAAGCAGCUUUCAUAUUCUUUUUCAAAAAUAAUCCAAUUGGAUCUAAAUAAGUAAUAAGAUUUUCUGAAACCUUCAAAUAAGAUUCAUACCAGUAGAGACGGGGCGAAUCUUGCAAAAGUGCCUUUCCACCCAUAUAUAUCCAAUAGAAUCCAAACACCCACCAGACGGAUGAAAUAACUGUGUUGAUAGACUCCAGCCUCUUGACAAAACUACAAAAGAGAAUAAGAUUGUAGCGUAAGAAGUAAUAUCUUUUGUUUAUAUGCUGAGGACUUCAUCAUUGUAAAAAUAAAUUCACUUUAAGCUGCCCAUUUCCCUAAUGGAAAGACAAGCAAAAGGAAGAAAGGAAAGUUGAUUAAGUUUUGUUUCAUUAACCUUCGAACCAUUAAGCCGAAUUAUGCAUGCUGCAGACCAAAAGUGGUAAAUCCUACUAUGGCCUAUUAAAGUUGAACAUUUAGACUAAUAUACCAUUGAAUCAAGUUUACAGGGAGCUGAAAUAUCUCCUGUACUAGUUUGGAGCUUAUACAAACAAGAAGGAAAGGCCAUGUUCCAGUCAAACUUUGAACAAGGACAAAAGUACAGGCAAAGGAGCAGCCAUGGAGCUUGCAUAUCCCGCUGUGGAAAAUUUACUAUGAUUUCCAAAUAGAUGUUAUUCUAAAACAUUUAAGGUACCAAAUCAACAGCCAAAAAAGAUUCUUUUAUUUUGUGUAUACAUUUCAGCUCUUCUUCUUUGACUAGUAUCUGACUACCUUUAUACCUUCCUUUAUCUUUCUUGUUGCCCUAUUGAAUUGGGGGUCAGAUACCUAAAUCAGAAACUUACCCCAAAUGGGUUGGAAUGAAUCAAUUAGGGGGUAAGGAAUCACAGAAACAAGAAUUUAGUAAGAGCAAGAGUUCCUAAAACACGAGAAAGAGAAGAAGCAUCAUACCCUCGGCGACAAAGGAGAGAAAAUGGAUGAAAGGCAUGGAAAUGAUGAAUGUAAAAAUGGCUGCUUUGAGAGUGAAGCCAAACAAAGCCCACAUGCAAGAGGCACUGCAGAGCAUAGCCACCAAUCCAAAGCCUUAAAGGGGUGGUGGGUCUCUCGGUGACGGUAGUCAAAAGCACAAAGGCAGCCACCAACACAAACCCCAAGUUCCAUAUCAAAUCAAGAAUCACGAAGGGCCUCGAGAAUGGACAUUCUUGGCCUACUGGGAGUGAUGGGCCACGGCCACGGUCAUCCUCGUUCUCCUCCCUCUCCUCCUCCUCCUCAUCAUCAUCAUCAUCGUAAUCAUUGAAGAAAAUCCUGUGGUGGUUCAAGGUGGCGGAGGUCAGUCUGGAGAAUAUGGUGGCUAUAUUGGUGGGGGCCCUUGUGUUAUUGUUGGAGCUGCUGGUGCUGCUGCUGUGGCCAUUCUGAAGAAGAAGCAAGCCUUGCUGCUGGUUCUCCAGGUCCAUUUAUAGGGAUGAUAAAAUUCCGGUAGCUGCAAUCUACUAUUUUGCCCGAUGAGAGAGAGCUGGUGCGGUCGGUGGCGGUGGUGGAGUUUUGUUUUGUUUUGUUUUGAGAGAUACGGUUACAGUAGCAGUCGAGCAAAGAUAUGGUAUGUUGGUCGACUCUGCUGCACUGUGGGAAGUGGGGGCCUACUGAGGACUGAGGAUUGAGGAGAGACAAUCAAUCAUCCAUCCGUGCAAUUGCUCUUGGGAGUAUUAUUUAUACACACACUCAAAUCCCUUUGUAAUACACUAAUACUACUAUCUAUCUACGUCUGCUAUUCCUUCAAUACUUUUUUUUUUCGUCAAUUGAUACCAUCUACGUCUACUUUUACUCUAAUAUAUAUUAGCGAGUGAUUCUGAGAAAUUGACGGAAAUUAAACUACCAUCAAAUUAUACAGUCCAGUGAUAUUAGACAUCUUCUAAAAUUAGUAAGUUUUGGCCAAAAAAGAAUAACUUUUGUCGUCAUAAUUAGUGUGUUUUUCAAUUUUAUCAAAUACACUGCUACUAUCACCAUCUAUGGAAAAUACAUUUUAUCCAUUCAUUCAAUCUUAAAAAGGGUUAUAAGUACAAAGUAUUUUAAAUUUCUUUCCUGGAAUAGAAAUAAUUAAUCUAAAUUAGAUAAGAUGUAUAGAUGGUCGAAUCUUUAUACAGGGAGAAAAAGUAAUUACAGUGCAUGCACCUAUAAAUAUUUGCAGUAGUAAUUUGUAUGCAUGUACCAGUUGCUGCAAACGAUUAUGCCACUCUAUUAGUAUUAGAGAGGAUGCAUCCAUAACAUAUUCAUGUGCUUUCGCUUCAAUCCAAUGACUACAAUUAUUACAUAACAAAUGUACAUAACUCCAUGUAUAGUUAUGUACAUAUAUGUAUAUAUAUACACAUAUAUUUUAUGGCCGGUGAUCAUUUUCACAGGCAGACUCGAGUAUUGAUGGAUAUCCAAAAAGGAUAAAAACAAUAAAAUUGAUGAUAUCUCUUUUUCUUUUUCUUUUUUAGUCUUUCCGAUUCUCUCUUCUAGGGUUGUGCAUCGAAUUCGAAUUCAGUAAUUCGAAAGUUUAAAUUUGAAAUUUUUCGGAAUUUUGGCAUAGGAAUUACCGACUGAUUUUGAUUUUGAACUCACCAGUUUCGGUUUUCGAUUUUGAUUCCGAUUCCGAAUUCGAAAACCUUUUUUCCCUUUUUUUUCUUUUUUGUUAGAGGUAUUGUUAUAUAAUAUAAAUUUUAUAUUGCAUAUAUUAUAAAAAAUAUUAUUAUAUAUAUAAAUAUAUAUUAAUAUACAUAUUAUAAAAAGAAAUUGAAAUAAAAAAAUAUUAUUAUAUAUAUAAAUAAAAAAAUAUUAAUAUAUAUAUUAUAAAACGAAAUUGAAAUCGAAAAUUUCGAUUUCGAUUUCCGAUUUUGAAUUAUGAAUUCGAAAUCGGAAAUUCUGAUUUCAAAAACUCCAUUACCGAAUUUGAACCAAAUUCACAUAAUUCGAAAUCGGAAAUUCCGAUUUUAGUGCCGAAUUCCGAAUUACCGAUUUCGAAUUGAAUUCGGUCGGUAAAUCGGAAUUUUUCGAUUUUGCACACCCCUACUCUCGUGUCACUGGUUAUUUCCUUUUCUUUGUUAUUAUAUGUGUACUUGACAAUAAAUAUUUAAAUUUGCUCUAACUCAUUCCCCAUAUUUUGCUGUUUAUUUGUUAUUUUUCAUUGUAAUUAAGAAUAAAUUUUAUAGAACAACACAAAGGAUAUGUUGCUUAGAUGGCAAAGGAAUUGUUUAUGCUGUUGCCAUUUUAGUUCAAGGGGGAUACUUUCGUAGUGGUAAGCAAAAGAACAACUUCAACAUGAAUGCUCAAUAUUUCAGAGCCAUUAGUACAAGUACAAGUUAUUAGGGAGGGAAAGAUGCAUGUUCUUGGACCUAAAUGGCCUGUGACAUUGUCAACAAUGUCAACAAAUCAAAGGAAGUAAAAGUAUGUGGAUAAAGUAAGACGGUCAUGGACUUCCCAGCAGCUUUCAGGGGGCUUUGGACUGGUGUCACCU